UUUGUCACACUCCAAUAAGAUAGGAUCUAACCCUAAAGAUUUUAUUCCAUUUAAUUACAUUGCUUAUUAUUGUUGCUAAUGGCAAGAUUUUGCUAUCAGGUAUGGAGAGCAUCUUUGGCUGAGCUUCUUGGCACCGCAGCUCUUGUCUUUGCAAUGGACACUAUAGUAAUUUCCACCUAUGAAACUGAAACAAAAACACCAAACCUCAUUAUGUCAGCCCUAAUUGCCAUUACUGUCACAAUCCUCCUCAUUGCCACGUCCCCCAUCUCCCAUGGCCAUAUCAAUCCAGUUAUCACCUUCGCAGCAUUGUUUACGGGCCGGGUUUCUCUUUCACGGGCCGCAGUAUACAUCUUGGCCCAAUGUCUAGGAGCCAUUUUAGGUGCGUUAGCACUAAAAGCUGUACUAAACAGCACUGUGGAGGAAACAUUUUCACUUGGAGGUUGCACACUCAGUAUUGUUGCACCAGGCCCACAUGGGCCCAUUUUGAUUGGGCUCGAGACAGACCGAGCUCUUUGGUUGGAAAUAAUUUGUACGUUUUUUUUCUUAUUUUCUUCGAUCUGGUUGGCAUUUGACAAACGCCAAUCCACCCCCUUGGGCCGGGUUAUUGUUUGUUGUAUAAUUGGGCUGGUAGUGGGCCUUCUCGUGUUCAUAUCGACGACAGUGACAGCUCAGAAAGGGUAUGCUGGGGUUGGGAUGAACCCAGCAAGGUGUCUAGGCCCAGCACUUAUUAGAGGUGGUCAUCUAUGGAGUGGGCAUUGGGUAUUUUGGGUUGGGCCUAUUAUUUCUUGUAUAGCAUUUGGGGUUUACGUCAAGAUAAUUCCAGUUGCCAAUGCCUGACGUAUAAAAAUGGCGUCAGGAAGUAGCAUAGUAUCCUUAUGCAUGAGGUUGUAAAAAAAAUAAUGUUCAAUUAGGCUUUGUUUAUGGUCUUAAAAUUGUUGGAAUUUCCAUCAAAUGUACUAAUUUAUAUCCUUAAUUGUGUUCAUAGUGAAAAUUUUAUAAUGUCAUAAUAUUGGAAAAUUUUCUUCUGCAAUAUUGUAGCAUAUGUAGUUGGUCAUAUGAUGAGAAUGGGGGGUUUAAUUUCUAGAGAUUUGAUCUUUGAUUUUAAAAGUAAACUUAAUAAUUAAUAAGGUGUUGGUUGAAAUGAUAAAUGAUCUUAAUCUCCAUAAGACUGAGACUAUAAGUUCUAUCUAUGCUUUUUGGAAAGAUAAAAAAUCUUUAGACACUGCGGUUAGAAGGAGAUUUCACACGAAAACAAGAAAAAAAAAGGACAAUAUAAAUUAAAAUACAAACAAAAGAGAUUUUUUUUUUUUCAUCUACGUAGAGGUGUAAAUAUUUUUCGGCAUAUUUAUAUACUUCCAAUCAAAACUUUCCAAGGAAAUUACGUGAGACAAUGAUUAUUAUAUCUUAGGAUUCAUAAACUUGCAUGUUCUCUUCUGUUUAGGAUUUCACAUCUGUUUUCCUUUUUUUAAUUAAAUUUUACGGAAGAAUUUAAAAUGAAUCAAACAUGUAAAGAUAGCCCUUUCCUAUUUUAUAUAUUACCAUCUAACCUUGUACUUUAUUGCUCACUUUAAUUUGGUAGAUGGAAUAGUUAAUUUCACAUGCUUUUUUAGCAAAAUUAGUUAUUUUAGAAGCUGCUAACUGUUUUAGUUGCGGUGAGUUGUUAACGUUUAAAGGAGUAAUCUUUCAUAAUUUGCUCUCUCAAGUUUUAAAUACUCAGUAUAAAAUCUAUGCCACCGACCACUGUUGAUAAUAGAAAUAAUGUUUUGACUAAAUAUUGUAUGAAAAAGUUGUUGUUUAACAGUGCCUGAGAAUUAAAAGCCUGACAGUUAAUUUUGGAUAGGGUUAGGUCCAGGCGUCCAUACAGUGAAUGCUACAAGUUAAUUUUUUGGAGAGAAGAUAAUGACCACCUAAUAAAUACUACAAAUGUGGACAAGCAGUAGCUCCAGAUGGGUCUUGACUUAUUUAUGAUUUUGUGUAAAUUUAAAUUUUGUCUAGAGUGCCUUCAAUCUUAUUAGCUGUAAGAUAAUUUUGUUUAGUCAAUAACUAGAGAGAAUAUGUGCUUUUAGCAUAUGAAUAUACUUCACAUUGCAUUAAUUUCUACAAUUGACACUAAAUUUCUUUACUACUAAUUUCCCAAACCUAUGGACUUUUCUUCUUGGAAGCAAUCCUCAAAUGUUUAUAAUCCUAAUCUUCUGUUCAGAUUUUAUAUCUUGAUUGUGUGCUCUUUAUUUCUUCAAUUUUCUUGCAAUAAUAGAAUUUGUUAAAGGCCAUGGAAUUGGCCAGCGCCCAAGAAGAUAAUAAUCAACAAUUCUCCAUAUCACAUGUAAAUUUCGAAGCAAUGAAUAGCUUCAAAGAGACUAUAAGAACCACAAAGACAGGGUUUCUUUUUCGCAUUGGUGCCCAUGAAUUGUUUUCACAAGAGGUAAUGAUAUAUGAGCUUCAAACUUCUUCCAAUUAUUGCUUGUUUAUACAUACAUAAAUGGCUGCCCGACUCAUAUAGUUCAGUUCUUGUUUUUAAGAAACUGGAAUUGAAAUCAUUUAAAUAAAAAAAAAAAACCAAAAUUCUGGUGUUUAUGUACUUAUAUUAUAUUAUGUUAAUUAUUUCCAGAUGUGGAGGGCAGCACUAACUGAGCUAGUAGCAACAGCUUGUCUUCUCUUCACAUUAACAAUUUCCAUAAUUUCAUGCUUGGACUCACACGAGGCAGACCCCAAACUUCUAAUCCCAUUUACCAUUUUCAUAAUUGCCUUCUUCCUCCUCUUAACAACAAUCCCCUUAUCAGGAGGUCACAUGAGCCCGAUCUUCACCUUCAUCGCAGCCCUAAAAGGACUCACAACUCUUGUCCGAGCCUUGUUCUAUAUAUUAGCACAAUGUAUAGGCUCUGUAAUGGCAUAUAUGUUAAUAAAGAGUGUAAUGGACCACAGAAUAGCAGAAAAGUACUAUUUAGGUGGCUGCAUAAUCGAUGGAAAUGGGAAAGGGAUAGCACAAACAACUGCUCUGGUGUUGGAAUUUUGUUGCACUUUUGUGGUAUUAUUUGUGGGUGUAACGGUAGGAUUUGAUACAAGAAGGUUUAAGGAAUUAGGGUUAGUUAUGGUGUGUGUUAUAUUGGCAGCUUCAAUGGGACUUGCAGUUUUUGUGUCAAUUAGUGUAACUGGAAGGGCUGGUUAUGGUGGAGUUGGGUUGAACCCUGCUAGAUGUUUAGGACCAGCUUUGUUGCAUGGAGGUUCUUUGUGGGAUGGGCAUUGGGUUUUCUGGGUCGGUCCAUUUUUGGCUUGUAUUUUUUACCAUGCCUUUUCCUUUACCUUACCAAGACAAGAAAUGGAAAGUGUAGAUGAGAAUUAAGAAAGGAUUUAUUGGGUAUAGUAUAAUGAAGUUAAUAAAUUUUAACUAACUCUUCAUUGGUUAAUAUUUAUAAUUAUAAUUUCCAAAGGAAUUGGAGUUAAUGAGAAAUAUAUUUCUAUUAACAAAAAAAAAUUAAAUCAUUUGUUUUAAGAGCAUGACUUGUCUAGAUCCGAUCUACAGCCUUACCUAUGAACCAAAACGAAAAAUAUAAAUUUUUUACAAAAGGGAAUGAUUUAAAAAAAAAAAAUCAUUGUCUUAAAAAUGAUUCUCUUUUUAAAGAAGAAAAAUAUUAUCCCAACUAUAAUAAAAUAAAUAAAUGAUAUGAAAUUUAUUUGGAGUUGUGAGGAUGCCAAAUAAAAUAAUAAUUAAUGUAAGAUUUAUAGGACGAUGACCAAUGAGAAUUAUGAUAUUGUUUAUGUACUUAAAAUGACAAUUCAAUUCGUACAGUAGUUUCAAUCUUAAUGUUUUUGCUGAUCAAGAAAUGGUGCUUUUUGGUUUUAAUGAAAACAAGAAUGAAGGUGGAUUAUACCCAAUUUAAAAUUCAUUUAGGUUUCAAUUGUCACUUUAGGUUGUUCUAGAGUUCAGCCAAUUGCCUCUUCACCAAUGCAAGUGCCAAAACUUAUUAUUAUUAUUAUUAUUAUUAUUAUUAUUUUGGUGAGUAGAAUGUAAAGUAUAAAACAAGAAGGAGAUGGAAUUGAAUAUGCUUUUUUGAACUUAUUUAUACAAUUUUGCAGGUCAGGUUUAUCGGAAAGCAAGCAAGGGAGGAAGCAAAAUUACACUACUUUGAGAAAGAUAUUGGGCUUUGAAGAGUUUUUUUCAUUAAAGGUUAGUAUGAUUUUGUAGAGUAGAGUUUGUAAAACUAACUUUAGAAUUAUAUGAGGGUGAUGAUAUUAAUGUUAUGGAAAUGAAAAUAAUGAUAUUUUCGAUAAUAAGUUUUGGUGUUGGACAAAAACAUUAGUUCACAUUUCUACUUAAAAAAAAUUGUGGUAGUUUAAACUUCGUGGAGAUCUACCGUAUUCAUAAAGUUAUGAAUUAUUUGUUAUAUUAUACACAUCUUCACGUUAAUAAUAAUAAUUUUUUAAUAUUUUUAUUUUUAAUGCAAAAUAUUAGUUUGAUAUACAGUUAGUAUAACUUUUGAAAUAAUAAUUUUUAUAUUUUUCAAUUAUCUAAUAAAUAUUUGAUUGAGCUAAUUUUAUAAGGUAUAAAUUUAUAGAAAAAAUUUUAAAUUAAAGUGUUCAAAAGAUGCGGUUUAUUAGUUAAAGUAUUUUUUUAAAAACCUUUUAGAAUGUUUUUAUUAAUACUUGCACGAAGAAUUUAGACCCGUGUCCAUUUUUACAAUCAACAAAAAAUUAAAUUGAUGACCUAAGCCAUUUUUACAUACCACUUAUUAGUUAAAAUAUUUAAUGAAUCGAAGUAUACGUUUUUUUUUUUUAUAUAUAUAUAAUAUACAAAAUGUGAAUCUAUGUAUUUAUUGUUGUCCUCAUCCUUAUCAUUAGAUCAUCAUUAUCUCCAAGGAUACAUUUUUAUAUUGGCUUAACGUAUAAAUUUGAUUUAUAUUUUCAGCAAUUAUCCUUCUUAUCCGAACCUUGUGAGGAUCCAUCAUUAUUGUAUUUUUCACAUGUUGUUGGUAGAAACAGAGAUAAGUAGAUAUUAUUGUAAUAAAUAAUCCUCAUCUUUGGAAUCAAUUAUUAGAAUUUAUAAUAUUUGGGCCAAUUAUAUAAAUUCACUCCUAAUUUUUUGUUAAUUUGAUUUUGCGCAUUCUCAAUUUUAAGGGAGACCUAUUGUGUUCUUAAAAUUACCAAUUUUGAUAAAUAUUGCAUAUAUUUUCGCAUUAAAAACAAUAGCUUUUAGAGUUUUUCAAUUUUAUUUAUAAAAUAUUGAUUUGAUGUGUCAUUAAUAUAAAUUUUGGAACAAUAUUUUCACUUUUUUCAAUUAUUUAAUAUGUGUUUAGUUGAUAUAAUUUCGUAAGUUAUUGUAUUUAAUUUUAUAAGUUAUAUUAUUUAAAGGAUCAAAAUAAAAAUUGAAUAUACCACAUAUUAAAAAAACUGGAUAAAUUUAUAUAUUCAACAUUAUCUUUAUAAAUGAAUUUUUAUGUUUAGAUCAACUAUCUAAACAUGUUAUCUUGAAAAUUUUUUUGAUCAACAACAAAAAGACCUUGGCAAAUGUGCAACCAGGCAACCAGAUCAGAAUUAGGAUGCUUAUUCCCGUUUGAACCAUUCAAACUAUCACAAACAAGAACGGGGAAAUGAAGUCCAAUCCAAGAAAUUGGCACACAAUUUUCUAUUCUUAGAUUUGAUAAUUUCAAAGUUGCUCAACUUAAUAAUAUCAAGGACCGACAAAGCAUCUCCAAUUUUAUCUGAAAAAAUCGUUUUAUUUUUUCUUAGCCAUAGCAACUAAAAGGCGUGAUGAAGAAGCCGAUGGGUUAUCCCACAUCGGUUGUGGAAGGGACUGGUGAUCAAAUUAUAAGUGUGAGGGAAAGCCUCGCCUCUUGAGCUAGCUUUUGGGGUUGAGAAGGCCCAAAAUCACCUAUCUUUGAUAUCAGAGCCCAGGUUACAGCAAUCUCAGCCCAGUUUCCGGGAGAGUACGGGUUGUUGCUCCUCCGACCCAUGGCCCGAUGUGUGAGGGGAAGAUUGUUGGGUUAUCCCACAUCGGUUGUAGAAGGGGUUGGUGAUCAAAUUAUAAGUGUGGUGAAAAGCCUCACCUCUUGAACUAACUUUAAAAUUAAUUGGAUUUAAUAGUUUGUACUUCUCUUAAAUUUAGAGUUUAUUUGCAAAUUCUAUUAAUUCUAAAAUUUAAAAUAAUUAAUUCCAUUGAAUUAAAAAAAAUAAAAUUCCUUUCUACCAAAAAAAAAAAAAUCCAAAUGAUUUAUGUAAAUGACUUAUAUAAAAUUUUAUUAAAUUUAUUUAUAUCAAAUAAGCUUUCAAAACUAUAUAAAAUUUUAUGAAAUUUAUUUAUAUCAAAUAAGCUUUCAAAACUAAAAAUUUACCAACUUAAUAAUACUAAACCAAAUUUUAUUAUUUAGAAAUGAAUUUUAUACUUUAUAUUCAUUUAUAUCAAAUAAGGAAUUAAAUAGCAAAAUAAUGCCCUUUUAAAAUGUAAUUACAAAUCUAAUUACGAGAACAUGUACGCUGAAGAAGUCAUUUUUUAAUACAAGUAAAACCACCAAUCUAACUGGGGAUUUCAGUGUAGCAAGGAGCAACGCCAUUGCAGUGCCAUAUUGCACUGAAACUGCUAAUCAAACUGACAGUUUCAAAUGCCUUAAUUUAUGGCAUUGUGGCAAUAUUAAAAAAAAAAAAUUGUAUUGAGUCUUGCAGGUUUUAUAACACAACACAAUAUAUUAAAAAAAAUUGCACUAACUUGAUGGUAAAAUGGAAUGACAUGGAUCCCUUUUUUCUUAAUUAGAGAUCUCGAAUUUGAUUUCUGAAUAUGUAUUCUCCUUAAACACUGGGAGAUAACGUUUUGUCUUCUUUAUAGACUUGUCUAGUGCGAAACUGGAUUAUUCGGGUCAAUGAUAGUGUAAAACAUUUCGAUAUCAGUACAAAGAAAUUGCCCAGCAAAUUAAAAAAAAAAAAAUUUGUAAAAUAUUAUUCAGUUUGAAGCCAUAACACCUGAACUCGUUAGGUCCACUUGCGGCUUCAAGGUCCCUACAUGCCUUAAACUAGCAUUAGUUGUGAACUUAUUUGUCAAUGAAACUGCUAUUUCUACGGCGGUUUGAAUACAUUGCAUAUUAUUCUUGCAAAUCUUUUCAAAGUAUCAUUAGAUUGGAAAUUUAUUUUUUAAGUUGCAAUCCUUUUUUUUUUUUUUUUUUUUGGGUUCAGAAGUAUCUAUACAAAAGGGGUCAGAAUCAUUUUCUAUUACCCUUUCAUUUUUAGUUUUCAGUCUAAAACCACAAAAUGCUAUAACUUGUUCAGGUUUGGAGGGCAUCUCUGGCAGAGAUUCUUGGUUCGGCAGUUCUUGUUUUUUCAAGGUGAUUGCUUUUUCUACUUCUUAACGGUGAUUUUCAAUUUAAAUUGAAAGGGGGAAGUUGGUUAAUUAAUUAUGAUAAUAGGAAAAUUGAGAAAUUCUAAUAAAUGGGUUUCUGAUAUAGUGAAGAAUUUUGUUUACUGUGCUAACUUUUUUAGUGUAUAGAAUAAGAAAGAAGCUAAUUUAGGUAUAAUUUGAAGUUUCAAUUCAAAUGCUUAAGAAUUUAGUCUAAGAGGUAAGGAUUUAUGAUUCUUCAAGAGAUAUGUGUAAAUGGAUAUUAUGAGUUUAGUGUUGGGACUCCAUUAUAAUUGGAGAUAUAUGAAUGUAUUUCAAACGUGAAUAAUUGCCUUGUCAUUGAUGAUUUGUAUUAGAGUUGAUUACUUAAAUUGCUUAGCUAUAUAAGUAGUUAGCUUAGGUGUCCUCUACAUGGAUUCAACUAUAAAUAUUGGAAAAAUGGGUAAUACAAGAUUAAUGAAAAUAAAAGUUACAUCUCUUCUCACAUCAGAUAAUUAGAAUUCGUUGAUCCCUCUUCCCCUGUCUGGGAAAUGAAGGAUAAAAUGCAUAAUUAAAGGUUUAUGUCUGAUCCGAGUACUAUAGGGCUUACAUAGGUGACAAUUCUGACCAUAAUAUUUUCCAUACCCAAAUCUCGAACCAAAAACCUUUGACGAAAAAGAAAAAAGUAUUGUACACUCUAUUCCAACUAACAUUGGUCCAAUUCUACUUAUUAAUUGUUACUUUCCAACAAGCAAUUUCUAUCAUUAGUGGGAUUCAAUUUAUAUUGUGUUGUGAUUAUUUGAUAAUCAGACUUUUAUGAAUGAACUAGUCUUUUUUAUGACGUGCUUUACACGUUGACUAUGCUCAUUAUAUAUUUAUAUUCUUUUAUCUAUAUAAUAUUAAAGCAUAAAUUUUGUUUAGAUUAAAAUAAACACAAUUGCUUAAUUUGUAUUGGACUAUGUCAUACAAGUUACUUGUAAUGUUACUUUUUAUGUACUUAAUUCUAUUUUUUUUAUAAUAUAGUGGUCUCAAAAUAAAAUUCAACUCAAUCAUUAAACAUAAUCCUUCAGUUCCUAAUUUAUAAAUGCAAAUUAUUCAUCCUUUUAUAAGUGCCCAAAAAGAAAAUAUAGUCAUCACUCAAUUUCUAACAUUCUACUCUCAACCCCAAAUCAACAUAUAACAAGUAACAAAUUAUAUUGAAAAAAUUAUCAAUUUAAAUUUCAAAAAUCAAUCCAUUUUUUAGUUAAAAAUGUUGCAAUUUUAUGAAAUUUAAUGUUGAUAGACAAAAAAGGGAUUAUAGCCAAAUCAAUAAAUGAAAAUUGCAAAGUAAUGUUGGAUCUAAUUUUGUUUCUCUAUUUUUCUAAGUUGUAAAUUUAAAAUAAAUAAAUAAAAAGUUAAUUAAUUAAUACCAAAAAUAUUACAUAAAAGAAACAUUAUAUUCUCGCCAAGUAAACCAUCAAUUUUUCUAACAACCAUACAGAAAAGGAAAAGUAUACUUUUUUCUUUUUUAUUAUCAUAUAUAUUUAUUUAAAAAAUAAUUUUUAGAAAUUAUAUGCAAUCAAAUAAUAAAAAUGUAAUGUCUUUUUUUUUUGUUUUAACCACAAGUAUCUCGAGCUACUAAGUUAGAACUAAAUCUUCCUCGCACCGCAUUGGCCGAUGUUCCCAGUGAAUAUUUCCUCCAUUUAUGAGGAUCGAACCCUCGACCUCAUUUAAGAGAAAAGAGUGUUGAACCACUCAUCUAAACACUCGUUGGUAUAAAUGGAAUUUUAGAAUUGGCUGUGACUAAGUCUAUUUUAGGAUAUUACCAAUUUUAUUAAGGGUGAUAUCAGAAAUCUCAUUAUUUCCUCUCAUUCCCACAUUUAUAUAUAGUACUAGUGUUUUUUAUCACGUGUAUUGCAAAUUGACUAUGCUUGUUAUAUGCUCAUUCUUUAUACUCGUUUAAAUUUUUAUUUAUACAAUGUUAAAGUAUAAAUUCUUAUUUAGAUUGAGUAGUUAAAUUAUAUUACACUUUAUCUAUACAAUAAAUAGUUUUUUUUUUUUUUGUUAUAUGUCUUACACUGUAAUAUCUCAUUGAAAAAAUGAUAUAUUUAUUUAUCUCUUUAAAAUAAUAAUUUAAAUAUGAAAUGUAUUAUUGAGCAUACUGAUUCAUAUAGUUUUUAUCAUUCGAUAGUUACUUUCAUUUUUCUUAAGGAAAAAUCAAGUUGAUUUAUAAAAAUUAUCAUAUAGCUUCUAUUAUACAUUUUAUAAUAAUACCUUUUACUAUAAUCUCUUAUAGUAAAUAAAUAUACUUUAACAGUAGAAUAAGAAACCAAUCUAAUAAAUCAAAUUAAGUAUUUAUAAAGAAUAAUAAAUUUUUAUUCUUUUAGCCAAUCAAAAUCAUGAAUGCAUUUAAAAAAAUUAUUAAUAAAAUUAUAUUCUUUAAUAACAAUAUGAUUUAAAUUAAGUAAGAUAUCAAUAUAAAUAAUUAAAUUCGAGAUGUUUAAUAAUAAUAAUAAUUUUUUAUCUUAUUUUUGGCAAAUCAAAUUAGAGUGUAAUUUGUAAUUAAAGUUUUUAAAUCAAAAUCUUGAAUUAUCUAGAUAUAUUUAUUUAAAAUAAAUCAAAAAAAUAUAAAAAUUUUUAAAUGUCUCAUAUUUACAUAUAUUAUUGAAAAUAAUAAUAUUAAAGCUAAAUUAUAAAUUAUUAAAAAUUAAUAAUAAUUUAUAUAAUAAUAUAAUAAAAUAUAAUAUAAUUAGACACAAUAAGAUAAUAAUAGUAAACAUUUAAAAUUUUUUGAAAUGCUUAAUUAUCUAUAUUUAUUUAUCUAUUAAAAAAUUAAAAAAAAACAUUCAAUCGAAUUAUAAAAAUAUUAUAUAUAUUUUUAGGUUAAAAUUUCUUAAUUGGUUAAAAGUAAGGUUAUUUUAGGAUAUUUUAAAUUUACAAGAAUAAUAUCAUCAAUACUAUUAUUUUCUCCCCGUCAUUCCCACUUUUAUGUAUGGUACAGAUAGAUAGAUAUUUUUUAUGAGUCCUCCAAGAAAUUUUUUAUAAAAGAUUUUUAAAAAAAAUUAAAUAGUUUUGAUUGAAGUAAGGAGAGAAUAAUUAAUUUAUUAAUUCUCCAAAGGCCCAAGCUUAUGAAAUGAGGAAAGGUUUCCAACAAAAAUAAAGAUACAAAAAAUGUUUACAUUUUAAAUGCCUGAAUUCUAUAGAAUUUUCCAAUUGGAUAUCUAAAACUAGAAAUUUAAUUAGGAUGACGUGGCCUCACACAACCAAUCAAAAUACACAACAUAGAAAUGCUGACUUGUUUAGUGAUCAUGUGCAAAUCACGUGAUUUGUUUAAGGGAAAUUCCAUUUUACCUGAAAAACCAAUUUGCCUCUCUCUCUCUCUCUCUCCAUAUUCACCCGUUUAUCCCAAAUAAAUAUUUGACUCUAAUAUUUUAUGGGUUCAAAAAAAAAACAUUAAUAAAUUAAAAUAAAAAAUUUUAGAUACUAGAUAUAUUAGUAAUUAUCCCUAAAAAUAUUUACAUAUAACACAACCCUACCCAACGAAUGAUAUAUAAACGUCAUUACCAAUUCAAUUGACCAAAGAACUAAAGUUGAAGUUACAAAAUAGAAUUUUCUUCUAAUUUAUUAGGACUACUUAUUUUUUAACUUUUUAUUUAGGAUAAAAAAAACUUUCUACACCUAAUGCAUUUAAAAAUAUUAUUUAACCCAUUGAGUGAAUUGAUUUUUAUAAAUAUUUCGGGAUAAGCCAACAUCAAAACCCAACCAUUUAGAAAAAAUUCUAAUUAAUAAAAAAAGAAAAAUUUUACCCACAUCGGAUCUAGAGCGCCACUCAUAGACCAAAACAAUGAGAAUAAAAUUUCUUUUUAAAAUGAUGAUAUUUCUGAUUAUACAUUGAAAAAAUAAAGUCAAAAGCUUUUUAAAGAAUCCUUACUGUUAUUGGUUCAAUCCAUAGCCUAGGCAAGUAAUUUUCAUUAAUAAUAAUAAAAAAGCCUACAUAUCAUCCAAAUCCGACAUCUUAUUUCAAAUUUCUCAAUGCAACAACAAAAAUUAAGAAAGUUUUGAUUAAUUAAUUACCAUUGCAUGAGCCAUAAAAUUAGUACAUUAGCAUAAAAGAAAUAACAUAAAAGUAGAAGAAGAUUAUCAUUGACAAGGAUUAAUUGCAGAUAACACAACCAUGCAUAUACCUUUUCACCUUAAUUAUCCUAAUUAACAAAUAAUUAUUCCCCUUUUUUCUUAUGUGUCUGUAUAUAUAUAUAUAUAUAUAUAUAUAACUAGGAAGCAGGCUGCAGAAGUGUAGAGGAGGAGGCAAGAGGCUCAUGCACAACAGAAUUUGAAGAAACAGAGAUGGGAUUGCCCUCUAAUUGCAACAUUACAAUUCCAAGGAUUUCGGUCAAUAUCUUCUUGAUCUCAUCUUCUUUAACCAGUUUCCCAUCAUCAGCAUUCAUCAUCUUUAAUGCUUCACCUACAACCUUGUCUAUCUGUAAUAUUUAAUAUAUCACUUUCAGCCCCAUCACUAACCUUGAUCAUGACAAGGACAACCAACAGCUUAAAUGAAAAUGGUAUGAACUAGAGAACUACUUCGAAACAUUAAUUUACAGUACCUCAUCAACAGAACCAAUUGGAGGUAGACCAGCUGAUGGAGCCACUAAAUCCAGUGCCACACUUAAAUACUCUUUAGCAAUCUUCCCAUUGCGAUCUUUCGGCACAUUUUCCAUAGCUGUGUUCAGAGUCUGCAUUGAAGAAUGAUUAUAAGAAGCCCAUAUUAAGUGCUCAGCAGUAUAAAUUAUUGCAACUGUUAUUUUUUUUUUUUUUAACUGACAUUUUCAAUAAAAUACUUAUUUCAACAUUUGUCCAAUCAACAAUGCCAAAUAGAUUGUAGAAAAGCAAACCUUGUCUAAUUCAAACUUGUUGCUUAAUAGUCUCUUAAUCCCACUUCCAUCAAAUAUGUUUUCACUAUGGGCAACAAUAACAGGCUGUUCUUUAAGACGCUGAGCUACACGUUCUGCUACUUUCUUGAAUUCUAUCAAGAAUGUUUCUUGAGAAAUAAGUUUAUCAUCAUAAUCUUGGCCAGUGCAAGAUUGCAAGGCUGGUUCAACAAUGUUGCUUAGUACCUGGAAAAGAAAAUUAAAUCAACUGAAAUCAAGAAAAUUUUAGCUAACCGAAAAAACAAAUAAAUAUUAUUCAAGAAUCAUAAUUACCCAAGAAUCUGAAGAUGGAGGCAUCCCUUGGUCAACUGUAAGCUUUUCCAAAGCCUUAACAAUGAAAUCUUGGAGAGAUAUUCCAUCAGGUAAUUCUAACUGUGAAAAUAUGGAUAUCAUUUCUGGUUCAUAAGCUGGUCCAUUGAUGAACACAGAAAGGUCUUCUCCAUCCAUUCGGAGAAUCACUAUUGGGUCUCUCUUUAAACCAGCAGCCAUGCCUAUUAAAAUAUCUGAUAAAACCUCUUUAAACUCAGUCUUGGUCACUUUCUCUUGCUUGCCAUGGGUGAAUUCAUUAAGAACCUACACAGCCAUAAUGGCAUAUUAACUCACUCACACAUAGAGAUGUGUGACUAAUUCAGUUCCAAGUUUCAUGGCUGCUCCUCCCAUGUACGAGAGUAGUGCACUCAGUACAUAAAUUCAUGCGAAAUUCAUCUAAAAAUAUGAAAUAUGAGUCCCACAUGAACAUGAGAGAGGAUGUACUGAAGUAAUUCCAACUAUGUGAAACUUAUGAAGCCCACAGUUUAUGAAUUAAAAAGGUAAGCUUUUAUCCCACUUAAUAAUUCUCAUACACAAGUGUAGUUGAGUUCUUCUUAUGGGCUCUAAAAGUUCAUAAGCUUGCAAUUACAGUUGACUAAAAGCCAGAACAGGAAAAGGAACACGGAAGAAUUUAAAAAUUCAAUUCCAUCUUUUAUAAAAUAUCUGAAAACUAUUAAAAAAUGUUGGCAAUGGGAGCUAUUAUUUCGUAACCCAGGCAUUCUCCAAAAAAAUCAAUCAUUUUUUACAAAUUAUUAGGAGGUAUUACAAAAUAUUGACAACCAAGGCUAUUAUUUUGUAAUCUGGCCAUUCUACGAAAAGCAGUUAUUUUUUACAAAUUAUUAAGGAAAUACUACAAAAUAUUGACAAUGGAAGCUAUUAUUUUGUAAUUCAACUACUUUAAAAAAAAAAAAAAACCACUUUUUACAAAUUUCUAAGAAGCAUUACAAAAUAUUUGCAACCAGAGUUAUUUAUUUUUUAAUUCUCCAACUUUAUAAAAAAACAAAAUAUUUACAUAAUGUUAAUAAAAAAAACUACUCCCUUCAUCCCAAUUUGUUUGCAUGGAUUCAUCCUAAUUUGUUUGUAUGGUUUGACAAAACACGUAUAUUAAGAAUUUAGUCGGUAAAAAUUAUUUUGUGUUUUUUUAUCCGUAACUCAUUGAAAAUAUUAAGAGAAAUCUUUCAUUUAAUGAAUGAUAUAAACGGUUAUCAUGGAAAAUAUAAUUAUUACAUGUAUAAAUUAAUUUUAAAACCUUACAAAUAUUUUAGAAUAUCCAAAAUAAUAACAACAAAUAAAACCAAACGGAAAAAAAAAAAUAUUAUUUUAUAAUUAUGUGACGUGACAUUACCUCACGUCAUUAUAGAAAAAUCCUUGAUUUUAAACCGACAAAUGUCGAAGUUGGUAGAGUCUACUAAAUUCAGACACGGUACCUUAACUUCUAACCUUUCCUUUCUCUUUUGGUUCUUAGAAAGGAAUAGAAACAUGUAGAAAAAUGCCUAGAAAGAUAACACUUUAAUUUGUCUUUCAGUGUCUAAUAAAGGUUACACACUAUUUUAGAGGCUAAAUUUGGGAUUAUUAAGAAAAUCACUUUAAAAAAUAUAAAAUUUUGUCUUCAGGCCGUACCAAAUAUUCAGGAAAAGUCCUCUCAAUAGCGACUCCUAUGACUUCAUUUUUUCAAUUUUAGCCAUUUUAUCCCAAAUUUAAAAUAUUAGUUAAUGUCUAUACAUGUUAAUUUUACAUGGAUAUGAUGUGACACAAAAGGAAGACCUGAUUCAUCUCGAAGGGUGAGAUGUGAUGACAACGAUCAUUUCUCCUUAAAUCAAAGAUCUCGAAUUCAAACUUUAGGUAUAGAGUCAUUUUCAACACUUCAAAAAAGAACGCUUCCCCUUUUAUGAGUCUACCCACAGAUUAAUUGAAUUGUUAAAAAUCAAAAGAAAAAAAAAAAAAAAAGAAAAAAGGAAUACCUGAUUCAAAUAUUAGCCAAGUUGAAAAUAAAUAUAUAUGACUCAAGUCAGGAUUUGGUUAAUUUAUUUUUCUCAGAAAAAUAGAGAUGGCAUGAGACUUAUCCAAAUAAUAUAUCCAUGUAGGACCAAAUACUUUUCCAAUUGCAAUCAACAAACAAGAGAGCCAAAAUUGACACUAAAACUCAUAAUUGAUGAUAUAAUACACAGACAUACAUUAAAAUUUUAAAUAGUUUUGGGGACAAAUUGAUAGAAUUUUUUAUUAACUAAUAAUAUUAGUUAUUCAAAAAUUCCUUCAAGCUCAUUGGCUAGCAGAAAGCCUUCCAUGUCAUAUAUAUCCCCAUUACAUCUACUGGGUAGCAAUCAUUAUCUCAAAAUACACACACACACACACACACACACACACACAUAUAUAUAUAUAUAUAAAGACUUAAAAAUGCACACUUUCCAUUUUCCACAACAUUCAUCACUAUAUAGAUUCUCCUAGAAGUGAUGAUAAAAAGAAAGGCAAAGAAAGGGAAAAGUCAAGCCAGAAAGGAAAAAUCCAACUGAAGAGUUUGAGUUCAAUAAGAUAAGACCGACCCAGAGUUGAAUAAUAAGAAAUGAUGAUUCCGGAGCUCGCUAGAAUUGGAAAUGUUUUACUUUUUUUUUUUUUUUCCGCUCAACGGACCCAAGAAGACAAGUGUGAUAAAAGAAAGCAGACAAGUGUGUAAUAGGUCAACUGAGAUCACAUGUCUAGAUUAAAUAAUAAGGAACCACAUAUGCCAACCAAGAUUAGGUUCAAGAUUAGGUCAAGUAUAAGCUUACUCCACUUUGUAAUUAUUAAUUAGUAGUUGGUAACACUAGAGUUACUAAAUAUUUGCGAAAGCAAACUUAAGGCAAAUUCUGUUUUUUUUUUUCUUUUUCUAAGAGAAGAAGUAGGUGUUAAUCUCUCGACCUUUAAAUUGUAAAAGUUAAUAAUAAUUUUUCCCGUAUUGACGUAAAAAGAAUAAUAAAAUAUGAACAAAAGCAUAUAGAAUCAAAAUGGCACUUAAUUUGUUUUCUUCUGACUCUCAUACAUCACUCAAUAGCUCAUCAUGGACAACAUUUUGUCACUGAAAUAUUCAAAAUAUUUUGCCAAUGGGUCAAAGAAAUUAUUUAACAUAAUAUAUAUGUUCGUGACGAUAUUGAAUUCAUUGAAGUUUGCACAAUUGUUUGAUUACAACUAAUUAAAAAAGGUUAAUUAGCAUUUCUCUAAUUUACAUUUCUAAAAAACAGAGCCUUAAAUCAAAGAUAUUGCAGAAAUAGAUAUUCUUAUAAUCUCAUUUUAUUAAUUUGAGAUUAAAGCUUAAAUUUUGGAUAACAAGGACAAAUUUAGCAAUGUCAAAACCCACCAAAAAAUGAAGGGAAAUUCAUAAAAAUAAAGGAAUGAAAUUGAAGAAGGUUUUGGAUUUAAAUAUGGAAAUUAGUAAUUAACUAACCUCAGAAUAGAUAAAAUCAGAAUCAGGAGAGGAACCUUGAGCAGGCAAGCCAAGGGCAGCACCGAUAUCAGCAACAGCAGGUUCAAGUUCCUUUACGGAUAGUUCUCCAUCUCUAUCCUUAUCCAGUUCUUGGAACUUAUGAUCAACGUAAUUGCUAAACACCUCCUCGUUCUCAACCAACUCCAUUAUACCUGAACCAUCUAGAACCUGUCCAUUUCCUCCUCCACUUUUCUUUACCUUUUCUGUCUUCUCCAUUAAUAUCUCUGCUCUUUUUUAUAUCAAUUUCUUGUUUUUCUUGUGAUUUUCCUUUUUAGUUUCUUCUGUCUGUCUCGUGAAUCAUGCACGAGGUAAAGUGAAGAAGGGUUGGCUUUGGGUUCGUCUCCCUUCGCUGCUUUCUCUGGUUCUUGGCUUUCGUUCUGUGUUUGUGCCUUUGUGGCCUUUAAAUAUGAGAGAAAAAAGGGAACUAGAAGAAGGACGAGAGAGAGAAAGUAGGCACAUCUAGGACACGUUUUACUUUAUUUUUUGAAAUUCAUCAUCUCUGCAGGGGUAUUCAUACACAGCUAAAAAUUGUUGAGACUAGGGCCAACCAAACAGUCGGCCACAAAAUAUAAAUUGAAUCGGAUCGAAGUUAGUAUAUGAAUCGAGCCAAUUGAACUAGUUGGUUCAGUCUAUUUUAUCGGUUUUCAUCAUUUCGGUUCGGUUCUACGUCCAAUCGCCGAAUAUUUGUGUAACCAAAUUGAACUGAUCAAUAAAUUUGGUUCAAACUGAACGAACCGACAACCGAACCUCUUGGGCAUAGACCGAAUCGAACCAAAAUCAAUCGGUUUCAUUUUCUAUUCGGUUUGGUUGAUAAUUUUGCUCACCCCUAGUUCAAACUGUGUGAAUCGAAUCAAAUUGAUAUAAAACUGUAAUUUUGAAAAAAAAUAAUAGUUUAAUUUGAAUUAUAAAAUUUAAAAACAAAAUUAGCAAUUUGAUUCUUUAACCUACUCAAAUAAAACAGAAUUAAACUAAAAAUAUAUAAAAAAAAUUUCCACUUGGUAUUGUAAAAAUUAAUCUAUUACUUUGAAGAGCAAUAUAGGUUUAAAGGAUUCUUUUUUUUUUUUUUUUAAAUCGGCUUAUAGGUGAAUGAGUUAUGAAAUUCAUUUUAUACAAAAUCAAUUGACUUGUGCUAUCUCCAUCACCUAUUUCAUUAAUUAGAAGUUUUUUAAUUAUUUUAUUAUUAUGCGAUGUAGUAUUCUUCUCAUUCGGAUCAAUGUGAAAAGAGAAUUUAUGGUGUAUGGAGAUUAUUUUUCAUGUCCAAAGAAACCCUUCACAUGAUUGAAAGCUAGUGCUAUUAUCCUUGCGUUGAACCCAUUUUGUGAUUUUCUAGAUUCAGGCUUUAUAUUUUCAUUUUGGGUUAUUAGAUUCGUAAUUAAUUGGGUCUAAUUAUUGAUUUAUGUAAUUAAUUAAUUAAUUAAAAUAUUGAUUGAUUAAUUAAUUAAUUAAAAAGAGGAGAUAAAGAAGACGUAAUCUGCAGUUGAGCACGUACAGGAAGGUGGGAUACCAAAGAAACUAAUGUGAACGUGUGUCAAUGGAUCCUUUUGGUAAUCACCUGUGAAGCUUAUAAAAGAGCAAGGGAACCCCAAUAAAAGGACAAUCAAAUUCUACAACGAAUUCAACAAUAAAAUAAAACUCUCCAACAAGUCAAUCAAUUUAAUUUUCAAAGUAUUGUCUUUAUUUUUCCUAAGAACAGUUCAUUUACAUUUCCUAUAAUUACAAGCUUUUAUUUCAAUAGAAGCAAUCAAAAUUCUAUUUAUCUUUCAAGCGAUGAAACUCUCUUUUAUAAUUUCUCAGUCAAUUUUAUUUUAACCGCACAACUGGUGAAGCGUGUACAGUGGAACUAAGCCCACGGACUAGAAGUCGGAUCGAGCGCACUUUAUCUUUCAGUUGGUGUAUUUCUUCUGUAUUCUCUUUUUUUUCAAGAAUGGUUUGAGGUUAAUCUAAAAACUAAAAAGAGGGAUGUUGGUGAUUGUCAAUGCUACACUUUAUUUGCUAUAAUGCUUUGGUAGGCGUGAAGGGCAAGAAAUGCUCAUUAUUUUUAUGCCAAUGAAUGUGUUUGUUUUCUAAAACUAGAAAGGUUGAAGGGGCAUGACACAAUUUUUUUUUUUUCAGUAGUGGCGCCUGAUUGUAUCGGUCCUAGGUGGCAAUGGAAGUGGUGCGUGUAUUUUAAGAUAUCUGUCUCGUUUCAAUCCGUUUUAAUAGGAUAUGAAUAGUUAUAAAUGAGUUUAUGACAUGUAUAGAUAGUGAAAUUACUACCUAUAAUGGAUACUAGUAGAGUACGAGUAUAGGUUUUUGGAUACCUGCUAACCGCCAUUGAGCCUGAGAGAAGUGAGAAUAAAAAUAUCAUUUGCCCUACUGCCCAUGUUCCCAGCGUUAUUAUCACUCACAUUAGCAUUUUCUACCCCACCUCUAAGAUCUUCGUUGUUUGAAUUUCGUCUCGCAGCACAACCAACAACUUUAACCACAUCAGAACUUUCAUCAAGUUUGUCCAUAGCAAGUGGCUCAAUACUAUAUUCAUUAAAUCUUUAUCAAACUCAAUACAUAAAUUCCCUUUAAACCUUAUACUGAUUAAAUUAGCUCCAAUCUUGAAGUGAUUGUAUAUGUCUUUUACCAUCAAUUAGUAAGAUUGCGGUCAAUCACUUGAUUUAAGUUAAACUAAUAAAUUAAAAUUAUAUUUUUAAAUAUAUAAAUUAUGCCCUUCAUCCCAUGAAAUAUAUUCAUUAAUUUUUGUUCUUACAUAUUAUAGUGACAUGUCUUUUUUCAUAAGAGAAUAAUAUUUAUAAUUUCUUAUUCUAUCAAUAUGUAUUUUUAUCAACAAAUAUGUUAAUUUUACUAUUAACCACAUGUUAAAAUUGAUAAUAACUAAUUAAAAUAUUGAUCUUUCAUGUUUCAAGUUAGGAGAAAAAUUAUACUGGUUAUUAGAAAAAUAUUAAGUAAAAUUAUGAUUUAAUCAUAUUGUUCUAAUCCAUGUGAAAGUUAAAUUAAACUGUUUUUUUUUUUUUUGUUCAAACUAUUAUGUAUCUAAAGUUUAGAGAUUCGAUUUAUCCGGAUCCGUGCUGAGUAAGUCCAUGAAUGGAACAAAAUACUUUCUCUCGAAUAUUUAAAGGGAUUCUAUACACAGGACAUGAACUAAACUUAUUUUUUCCUAAUUCACCAAUUGAUAAUUCAUUUAAAAUUUAAAACAAUUUAAAGUAAUCUAAUCGGAGACAUCCUACUUAGAAAAGACAAAAAAUAACUCAAAUCAAUCUGCCCUAAUCCGAUUCGAUUGCAAAGUCUUUGACAACAUGUUCAUUUUCAAAAUUAAAAAAGAAAGAAAAAAUUUUGAAAGGAUGAAGCUAAGAGGGCAUUUGGUUUAGCUGAUUCAUGCGUUUUAGGUGUUUAAUAAGUUUUUUAAUCAACAGCAGCUCGUAGCUCAUAAAAGUUUAGCUAUAGUUCAAUCAGCUAGCUAUUGAUUCGAUCAGCUAAAUUUUGAAGUUUUUUUUUGCUCGACUGGUAACUGAUUCGUAUUUAUAUUAUUUUAAAAAUUCAUUAUCUUCUAAAAAUAACUGCUAAUAAAAUUAGUUCUUUUUAAAUUAAUAUUAUUUAUAGUUAUUUAAAAAUAAUUUUUUCUUAACUAUUAUUAUUUUAAAAUUUAAUUAAUAUUUUUUUUAUAUAAUACAUUAAAAUAAAAAAAUAAUAGAUCCAUCUUAAAUUAACAUAUAUAUAUAUAUAUAUAUAUAUAUAUAUACAUAAAACAAUAUAUAACAUAUAAAAAUAAUUAUGCUACUGAUGAUUUUUUGUACAGCAAUCUCUAUUAAAAUUUUACCAGUAAUCAACUAACUUCUAUAAACCAUCAGCCACUAGUUGAUAGCAAUUGCUAAAUCAAACUGCUUUAAGAGCGAAACAAUCCUUAAUAAUCCCUUCAUCCUAAAAAUAUAGUUUAUCUUUUUUUUUUUCCCCAAAAUGUAAUUUACUUUCAUUUUUUUUAUUAUAAUUAAUCUUAAAUUAUUUAUUUACCCUUAUUAAAUAACUAUCAUUAAUUCUUAUUUAUUCUUUUAAUAUAAUAAUUACUUAUAUAUUAUUUUAAAUAAAUAUAAUAAAAAAAUUAUAUGAAUAAAAUUAUCUUUUAAUUAUAAUAACUUCUUCUUCCUUUUUCUUUUUAUAGGCCUGUACGAAAAUAGAAAUUGAAUUAUUUUUUUUGACGGAAGAACUAUAAAUUAAGACCACUAAUUGUUCUGCGGAUAGGACACAUGGGGCGGCUGUUAGGUGAGGGAGCGUCCAAAAUAAAGGAGUACGUACAACAUUAACUAACAAAGAAGCUUGGACUUUUUCAGCCUAAUUUGCCCCUGCAUGUUGCAUGGCAUUUUUAGCAAUUGACUAUUUUGGCUUAUCCUUUCCUUUUUCCUUUUUCCUUUUUCCUUUUUCUGCUUUCCAAUUUUCUUUUCUUUUCCUUUCCUUUCCUUUUCGUUUAUGUUUUUGCACACGUUUUAUUCAACUAGGCUGAAUUGUGAUGAAAGAAAGGAGCAGUCUCUGUCUUUGUAGACCUCAUGGCAUCUUUGUCUAAAUUAUGGCCCUAUUAAGAUAUUAUUUUUUUUAUAUGUAAAAAAAAAAUCAAUACUCUUUUUUAAUUGCAAAUAAAAAAAAAAUCAAUACUCUUUUUUAAUUGCAAAUAAAAUUCAAAGUUCAAUUUUAUUUAUUGUUGAUUUUAAUGUCUCAAUUUUUGUUUUUCCUAAUCAAAUGUCUAAAUUGAUAAAUGUUCUAAAAUUAGAUGCAUUUAACCGAAAUUUCUUAUCAAAAUUUUUAAAUAAACUAUUUCAUCACCUCAUUUAUUUCUCUAGAUUAUCAUCUUUCUCCACUCAUUUCUGUUGAUUUUGCUUUGAAAUAAAAAUAAAAUUGUAAGGAAUUUUUUUAAAGUUUCUUAAAGAAAAUAUAAGGUAAUAAAUAAUAAAAAAUUUAAGAAAUAGAAAUAAAAUGAGUAGGUGUCAUAUAUUGAAUAAAAUUAUUUAUCAUAUUUUUUUAAUAAAAAAGGCCAAAUUGCUUAAUUGAAAAUAUAUUAUUUAUUCAAACACUUAUGGAUAAAAAAAUAAAAUUGAAGUAUAUAUUAAAAUAAAAAUUAUUAGAAAAUUUUAAUUUUAGAUACUAACUAUAUUAUUAUCUCAAAUAUAAUUAAUAAAUAUCCAUAUAAAUUCAAAGUGAAAGUUAGAAAAAUAGAUACAUAUAAACCAAUCAGCCGUGGAGGAUUUGAGGCCUUAAGAUGAGUGGUUAGAAAUAGCGACCGGAACAUGAGGGCUUUGAAGAGACACUUUGUACUUUCUUCUUUCAGAACAAGUUUUCUGACUUCGGUUUACAGAAUUUUAUUAUUAAUGGUACUUCCCAUGUAAUAAUUCACAAGUUUCAUUACUCGAUUACUACAUGAAAAUUCUAAUUAAAUUCAUAAAAUAAUAAUAAUAAUAAUAAUAAUAAUAAGCUUGAAAGUUGAUUUAUUUGAGACAGUCUCAGGUUAGCUACUAAAGAUUGGAUUAUCUAUUUACCAUUAAAUGAAAAACGGAAGAGCUUUUUCCCACGUGAUAAAGCCGAUGGGACAACCAAAUUGACUGAGCAUGAAGCUGUAACUUUCAUAAAUCUUCCACGUUAAGCCAUUUGCAAGAAAGUAAAAAGGAUGGAAAGCGCAUCACCAUCUCAUAUAUGUGGCUGCUAAUAGUCUCUAUGAAACCUUUCGAGAUAGGUUCUUCAACCCACAUCCCAAACAUUUGAGUAUCACUGUCUUUGAUGGUGGAUCUGGCUUAAUAACAAACUUAACCCCGAGAAAAUAUCUGAUAUUUCUCAGAGUUUCUAUCCCAUAUGGUGAUAGCUUUCCCACACGUAUCUGUGACACAUCUUCCGGACAUAAUGCACAAAGAAGAAAUAAUAAACCCUAUACACCAAAUAAAAAAAAGCAAUUAUUACAAGAUGGUAUAAUGGAACUUGACACACUGCACUAUAAGAAAUUCAUGAUCAAUAAAGCAUUUCGCUUAUCAUUCUUUUCUCAUCAGCAAUAUGAAUCAGUUCGCAACUUUUCUUUAUGUUGGAGUGACAGGGGUGCCAUUUGGAAGUCUAAGUGCAUUGCUAAUGUAAUCUGAUUUUCUUGUAUUUUGUUAUGAGCGAAGAACUUGCAGAAUAUGCAGUUUAGUGGGUUUAGCUCAAGGUAUGGCUUAGGUUGGGUGUAAAAGCAGUCCAAGUAUGGUCUAGUUUUGACAUAAAACUAUGGAUUACCACGGUUUGUCAAGUAAACUCUAACGUAUGUACAAGUGUUAAAAUAAUCAAUGAUAUCUGCUCAACAGAGAGGUUAAUUUUAUAAAACUUGUCUUUAAGAGGUGUGCUCUGUGAAUUGAGUUUUCUGCCUACCAUUUCUGAUUUCUCAAAACCAACGUUCAUGCAUUUCCCUCCUACAACUUUAACAUUAGUUUUAUUCAAAAAUCUGAAGAGAGAGAGAGAGAGAGAGAGAGAGAGAGCAGUAUUUGGCUUCCAGAUUAGUCCAUAUAUAAAAGAUGGUGAUCAUAGAAUCUAAUUUGUGUUAGCAAGUAAUCAGGGUUGAGCAGAAAAAGGAACUUCACUCAACAAAGUUUACCAAGCACACUAGAGCAGACAAAAAUAACAGAAAGGAAAAAAAAAAAGAAAUAGCAGACCUGGUGUGUGGAAUCUACAACUCCACCUUGCUCAAUCUCUCCGAGAAGAAGAGAAGCAACUUGCUCACCAACAUCCGCUGCGGGCAUCAACUCUUUGUCCUUAUCUUCCAUUUCAGCUAUAUCAUCUCCUCGAGCAUGAUAAACUGCUGUGUCAGCAGAUAUGAAGCAACCAGUAGUUGUUUCGGCAACCAAUGAAAUUCCAUAACCAGGUGAACUGCCAUGACAUCAUAAUCUAUGUAAAUAAAUUCUUAGCAUGAUAAAACAUUAUACAUUUUUAUAUUAAAAAAUUUUAAAAAUGAUAAGGAAAAAUUUACUAACAGAAAGCAUACUUUCCAGCCUGUGGACCCUUAGCUCUAUGAUCGGUGAAUAUAUGAACAUCACGAAGCAAAGGAUUAAGGAUUCCACGAGCAGCAUGUAACAUAUUAGUAUCAAACUGAGAUGAGACCUUAGCUGAGAAAGUGACCCCUCUAAUCCUCUUAACCAAUCCCUCAUCAAUCCAGGUGACUGCCUGUACAGCAGAACAUAUAAGAAAAAAGAAAGUAAAAUGCAAGAUGAUGAACCACCAUUGGAUUCAAAAUAUCACCGUUAGACUUUCAACAAGAGGAACAGAUAAAAGUACUUCUCCACCUCCAUGAGGUGGAACUCCACGACUCUCUAUUUUCAGCUCCAAUCCUUCUGAAGGAACGCCAAAUCUCUUCAACGUUGGUAGGGUAGUAGAUCGAAAAGUGUCAACACAUGGGUCUUUAGAAUCAUUUGUAAUUCCUGAAUACAAUAGAAUCGGUGUCACUAUCAUCACAUCAUCUUCAUUAGCUAUAGAUAUACAACUUUAAAAAAAAAAAAACUCUUGGUACUGUCAUUUACGAGUUAUGCCAAGUUUUGAAGGUUGACUUCGGUAAAAUCAGUAUCCUUUGACCAUUACUAAAGCUUUCUAAGUCAUCACAUCACUCCAAACAUUCCAUCCAUGUGUUUGUAGUUAGCAUUACUGUUUGUUAUGAAGCAUAAAAAGUGUAAAUGGCUUUUUCCUGUGAACAUCUAAAUAACCUGGGGAGAACUCCCAAAACUGAUAAUCCUCCACCUUCCACAAAAUAGGCCUCAAAGAUCUACAUGCUAGAUUGCACCUCCAUUUACAUUUGAAAUAAUUCUGAACUAAGUAACAUGAUUGGUAAUCUAACAGCAUUUAUGCAAAAUUAAUAUUUCAAAUUGUUUACAUUUAUGAAUAAUGUUAAUAUAUAAUUUGGACUGGAAAUCAACAUCCAGAAUAAUUCAUUUUGGAUACUUGACAAAAAGGGAAGAAGUUGAUUCACAUGACCAGAUCUCUGUAUUAGUAGUUUCUCUAACAAUCCACAUAAAUUGAUGCAUCAAGAUUAACAACUCUUGGAAGGUAAAAUGACGUCUGAACAUUCCAAUUAUGAAACUUCUAAUAGAAGACCAAGUGAGGAACUUUUAAAUGUGUAAAAAUGGGGGCUGGAGAAACAGUUACAUUUCAAGUGCAAGUUCUUUGUCUGGAAAAGUAAAGUACAUCUAUAUUUCUGCCCAAGCUUGUGCUAAGUGUCAAGGUAAUGUGACGAUAAAGCUCCAUUUAGUUAAGCAGUUUCUUUUUUUUCUUGUGGGGUGGAGUGAGGGUGGGCGCUAGCCUCUAAUGGUUGAGACCUCAAACCCUAAACUUAAAUGUUUGGUAAACUUCUCUUAAAAAGUAGUAUUAAUUACCAAAACAUCUUACAAUCAAUUCAACUAGCUAAUCGCUGGCCUCUAACAACCAACUGUCUAUAACUGCUAAACCAAACAAGCCAUCAGUAGCUAUGAUCUGAGGGAUUAGGCUUCUAGCUUUUGUUGCGUUCUUGUCUCCAAAACCAAGUAUCAGGUUAAGCUUCAUCAAACAAAUAAAGAUUGCCCAGUUCAACAAGUGCACCACAUGAUCAAAUAAAAACACAAUUUAUUAUUUAUAUUUUUUUCUCAUAUUUCACAAUAAAUUUUUUUAAAAAACGAAGUCUUUAUGAUUCUAAACAUUGUUAUAGUCUUAUAAAUUAAUGUUUUUAUUUUUUAACUAAUUUUCAAUAUUAUAAAGACAUAAGAGUAAGUUAUUUUCCAGAUAUAAAUGGAGCCUAAAGCUUGGGUGAUUAAACCCAAGUUAAAUUACACAGAGCACACCGCUGAAUAUGCAAUUAAAAUUAAUCCUAAGCACAUGCCGCGUACCUUUGAGCCUUAUCACAAGUGAUUUCUUGGAAAAUAGCCCAAGAACAAUUAGUGGCUCAAGGAAAUAGCCAAUUGAUCGACUUAGGCCACAAUCAUGCACAAGAUGUUUCCCACCCAUCACAAUCCCAGGCUUGUAUUUAAAUUUUGUUCCUGCAACAUAUAUUUCAAUGAAACCAAAACAAGGAAAACCAACAGUGUAAGGAGCCACAAGAAGUUGUUCACGUUGACAAACAAUAUAACCCAAGUAAAACAAAGAAAAAAAGAAAGCAAAGCUGUCAUUACUAUUUGUUGCAAUACCAAAUGACACAAAGUUUGAGUCCUAAAAAAGAAAAUGGGACUCCAGAAGUCAAUUUUAUAUUUUAUAUAUAUAUAUCUCAUCAGCAGAAAAUAGAACUCAGCAACAACCCAAACAAAUAUGGAGAAACUGCAAGGUAAACCCAGAAAACUUAAAUUAAAACAAGAAUCAGCCCAUACAUGCACUGAUGACCAGAAAACAAAACGUUGAUGCAACAAGAAACAAGCUUUAAAGGAAGAGAGAUGCCACAUAAAAUAGGGUUAGAGUUUCUUAAGAGUCUUCCACAGAAUUUCAACAACACAAAGCAAGAAAUUCGAAGUUAAGAUGUAAACAAUUAAAGCAAAGAAGACCAGAAGAAGACAUUCAGAUGUUGUUCAAAUGACCUAUAUCUCAAGGGAGACCCAUUUAAAAAAAAAAAAAAAAUCAGCAGAUGACAGAAAAAAACCUUCAGUAACUAGACACUCCUACGAAAUACUAUCAUAUUUGGAAUUAGACAUUUCUGUAAUAUGUGAAUUUUUUUUCAAUUUCAAACCGAAUAGGCUGACAAAUGCAGAAUUAACUUCUACACAGAUAAUACAUAUGAGAAGGUGAACAAUUACCGGUUUCAUUGAUUUCAAUAACACAGUCAUCGGAGAUCCUCUCGAGGAGGCGGAGGAAGGAGACCUCGUAAGGACGGAGGCCUGGCAGCGUGUCUUCUGCCCGAAUGUCCUCAAUGAGAACAGGAGUGGCGGAGAGAGUAGCUAAUAGCAGUCUCUGGCGGAGGUUUUGGCUCCCUUUUAAUCUCUUAUAACUUAUCUUCCCCAUCUUUGAUUCUAUUGUGCUGUACUAUUCUCCUGAAAAUGAUAGGAAUCGAAAUCGAGACACAAUUGUCGAAGUAGAAACUCCUGGAGUGUAACUUCUAUGGCUAGGGUUUUAGACGAAGAAGAAGAAGAAGAUGAAACUAAAACAUAAGGUAGGGUUUUAGACGAAAAGGAUGAAACUUAAAACGGCAAAGAUCAAAGUAGCGAAUAGUGACAAUUCGCGGCGGCCAUAAUGUUCAAGAAAUCAGAGGUUUUGAUCGCAAUGGGCCUAUUUCACCAAUUUUUUAACUAAAGCCCGAAACUAGUAGGCCAGCCCACAACAAAAGAAACCCAAAAUAUCAUCGGCCCAAUACGUGCUUCUUCCUAGCGUUUAGUGAAAUCAAUCACCUAAUCGAUUAAAGGUUAACAUAAUGUGUUUUUCUUUUUUCUUCUUUUUUCCUUUUUUUUUUUUUUAGAACUAGAAGGUGUAAUCGCGUAGAAUAUAAAGAUCUUUAGCUCUUUCAACAAUUUUAUUUUCUGAAGAUCAAACUUUUUUUUAUCACCUAUAUAAAAAUUGAGGGCAUUUACCACUCUAAUUAACUCCAAAAUUAAUUUGAUAACGAACUGUACAUCCCUUUAUAAAUUGAAAAUCUUAAUUAACGGCAUUAAGAAAAAAAAAAAAGUGAUAAUGCAGUAGAUUCAUACAACCCUGUGAAAUCUUAUAUAGGCUUAUAUCAUAUUUUAAUUCAAAAUCUUAAGACAAUAAGCUUACAUUUAGUGAUAUAACCUUCGAUUUAUUUUGAGUCUAUCAGCGGUAAACCUACCACCUAUUUUCUAUUUUUUACCCUCUCUUUCGCUUCACAUUCUUUAACUUUUAAUUUUCUUUUACUUUAAUAAACUCAAAUAUGCUUUUCAUAUAAUAUAUCUAUUUUUUUUUGUUUUUGUUAUUGUUGGUUUAUCUCCAUAUUUGGAUUUUUUUUUUUUUUGUCCCUAUGAGGGUAGUCCCUUCUUUGCGACGGUUUAUUACUGAAUAAAAUUAUAAUAUUAGACUUUAUUUGGUUGGACACUUUAAAUCUUGAUUUGUAAGUGUAGAUCUUCGAUCUAUAAAGCCUGGUAGUACGAUGUAUUCUUCUAUUGAUAAUAUUGACGCAUAAUAGUGGAAACUCAUAUGUGUUCAUCAUAUGUUACAAAUUUUCAGUUAUAGAAGUUCCGUAAGAGUUAUUAUUUUAAUGUCCAAAUUAAUUAAUGGACUAGUUGCCGCUACGAAAAUUUAUAUCUUUUAUUGAGAUUAACUCAAGCGGAAAAAUCUAAUAUUAUAUUUUAAUUUUAAUUUCAUUAUUUAAAAGAAUAUGAAUUCUUUUACUUCAUUAUACGAUCUGCAAACUUUAUUAACUACUAAUAGGAAAAUUUUAUUUCUGGCAUGAUUAUUUUUAAUUCUUGAUAGUAUUAUUAUUAAUAGAUUACAUUUUCAAAAAAAAAAAAAAAAGAUUACAUUUAAUAGAUAAUAAAUAAAAAUGUAAGAAAUUCAAUUCCUCUGAUCACGUUACAUUAAAUUUCAUUGUGGGUCAUCAAUGCAACAUAAAUUUGUUGAUGGUUGAUUCAUCAUUCUUCCCAUUUGAAUAUUUCAUUUAAUCCAUUCUUUUUCCAGUAUGAGAUUUUACUCGAACUUGACAUCUAACAGAAUGUUAUAUUAAUUUGUGUUACAAGAAAUAUUAGUUUUUGCACAUAAUCAAAUUUGACUUGAGAAAAAUAAAUCACAUGAAUUUCAUUUCUCUAAUGGUUUGAUGCCCUAUGAAAUAGCCUCAUUUAGUGCGUUUCAGCUGGCAAAACUCUAUACUAGGAACUAUUUUUUGUCGAGAGAAUUCUGAAUUCCCAUUAUCUAUAGACAAAGCUGAUUCAUUUGGCUUCUGAGAAUGUAAGUUAGGUUCUUUUGAUUGCCUUCCUUUUGUAACAUGUCCACUUGUAUCGCAAAUAUGAGAUUCUGUACCAUUUGCUUCCUGCUACAUAAGAAAGGAGAAAAUGGAGGAUGCGAUUUCAUAAAUUUAGGAUCUACAAUACAAACUCUUGUUCUUGGAUGCCAAAGAUAUAUAAAAAAAUGUCAAUUUUUCUUCAUCGGUAACCUUUUAACCAGCCGCCCCCCAAUUUUAUUUAGUUAUUUUUUUUUUGAAAUUUACCUUGUAAAAUAUAUAAAAUUUUACAUUUUAUCUAUAAAAUAGUGAUUUUUUUUGGGUAUUGCCCCUUCUAAAUAUAGAAAAAAAAUUUUCACUCCCUCUAAUUAUUUUUUCUAAUUCCGCCACUCUUUUUAACACAACGAAGAAAGAAAAAUACCAUGAAUGUAUAUAAUAAAACAACAUAAAAAUAAUACUAAAAAAUAACAUAUAUCUAGUUAUAAGUUUAAAGUUAAUUACAUGCCAUGAAAUUAAGUUGUCCCCUGCUCUCUCAAAUGCAGUCAAUAGUGCAACCAUAAUCCUGGCCAAAUUUGAAAUCAAAAUAAUAAAGGUUACUAUAAAUUCUUGAAAACGGUAAUCCCUCGGUACCAAAAGAAAUAUUCUACUUUUUAUUUUCACACAGAUUAAAAAAUAGCAAUUAUUAUGAUUAAAGGAUAAUUUUAUUUAUAUAAUUUUCCUAUUGUGCUAAUCUUAAAUAACACAUAAGCAAUUAUUAUAUUAGAAUAAUUAGUAAGAAUUAAUGCGGGUUAUUGAACAUAAGAUAGUAAAAUUUAAUAAGGGUGUAGUAGACAAUUUAAGGAUUAACGACAAUAUAAAAGAGCAAAGUGGACUAUAUUUUGAGAUAUACCAAAAAAGAAAUAUGGAUUAUCUUUUUGAAACAGAGGACAGAACAAUUAUUAUAGUUAAAUGACAAUUUUAUUCAUAUAACUUUCCUAUUAUGUCUAUUUUAAAUAACACAUGAACAAUCAUUAUAUUAGCAUAAUAAGUGAAAAUUAAUGAAGGUUAUUAAAACUAAGAUACUUCAUCUGUUUUCUUUAUAUAGAGAACUUUACUCAAAAUGGAAACUUUGUAAAGGAUGUCAGAUGAAAAAGACCAAGAUGCCCUCAUUUUAGCUCUGUAAUCCGCUUGCAGAUUGUGCUCUGAACGAGGAAAGUAGCAGAGAAAAAAGAAAAGACAUUUAAUGCAUUUAAAUUUUCAAUGUGUUUUUUUAACAGUGUGCUCGACUUUUGGAUGUGAACACAAACAUGAGCAAGAAUUUGUGAAAUUAUUCAAAAUAUGGACACCAAAUUGGAUGGUUGUAGUAUAAUUUUGAAAAUCCUUUUAUAUCGAUAUUACACCUUGCAAAUAUGUAUAUGAAUUUUGUUAACUCCGAAUUAUUUAAUAUAAUUUUAUAAUAUAACUAACACGGAUGGAAAUUUCAUGUUCAUAUUUUGAAUAAAUUGUACACAGUGAAAAAAAAAAUCGGUGAUAAUUGUGAAUUAGUUGUACCUUAUUUGAUUCCCUUAAGUGAAAAAUAGAUUAGUGUACCCUAUUAUGGAGAGGCAUUACUUACAAACCGUCAUCUCAAACCUCCUAAAACCUGUUCGUUUUUCAUGCGCCAGAGAACGAAUUGUCAUGCGACGUUUUAAUGGGAUUUUUGUUGCAACUCAUAAAAAAGCAUGACAUUUACAAAAUUCUUUACAUGAUCUGGUAUAUAUUUUUUUUUUUUUUUUGUUUCUUCUUUUCUCAUUGCCUACAACAACAUUUUCAGUAUGAUUCAUUUUAGGAACCAUCAUCAUGCUUUCUUCUGCUUCAGGUAAGGAGUUCAAGUAUGGCAAAUGGAAAGUUGUGUGCAUAUCAUGAGAAUGUGCGAGCAAAUUUAUUGGAGCUUCAUUGAGAUCAAAUGAAAAUGAAUUAUUCAUGAUGCAAGAAAUAUUGUUCUCCUCUUUCUAUUGACCUUAGUUUGAAAAGCUUAUGAAUGCAAUUACAUGUUCACGUUCUGAUCACAAUUCAUAUAAGAAUAUUGUAGAAGUUGAGGAGAUAGUAAGAGUAUCAAAAAUUUUGGCUCUACAUUUUUGUCAUAUUUGCGCGCAUAUAACCGAAAUUGCUCAAGACUUUAGAAAAUGAAAGAAAUUCAAAAUUUUCAACAUGGGAUUUUAAUUUGGCAAAGUUUGAAAAUGGAGAAAUUAACUGCAUUAUGUCAGAAAUUUCUCCAAUUUCAGCUUAAAUCCCCUCCAAUUUGCCUGAAAUCCUGUAAUUAAUGCGGCUUUAGAAGUCUACUCGUAUGAGUUGUCUAUCUAUUAAAUAAAGAGCCCGUUUAAUACUAUUUAGGGGUAAAAUAGACAUAAUUUGAGAAAAUAGUUAGUUUAACUACCAUCUUAAUCCUUGUGCAAAUUCAAUUAUCUCUAUAUGAAGAGAACAGAGGGAGUAAAGUUUAAUAAGGUCAUAAUAGACAAUUUAAAAAUUAAUUAUAAUGCAAAAAAAGAAAGUGGACUAUAUUUUAAAAUAAACUAAAAAGAAAAGAUGAAUCAUCUUAAUGGGACAGAAGAAGUACUAAUUAAUGGCAAAAAAAAACCUAGAUUAUUUUAAAAGAUGAUGAUUAAAAAUAAUAUUGGGAAAAGUACAAAAAGUGAAACAUCUUUAUUUUAUCAACAAAAGAGAUAUGUAUUUUACUAUAUUAACAAUUAAAGAUCUAAUGCCAAACAUCGUAUUAAAAUAAACUAUUGAUAUUAGGCAUUAAACCCUUCAUAAUUAAAAGAAUAAAAAUACAAUUUUAUUUUUGCCAAAAAAUAAUUCGCAGAUUUUAAAUGAGAAAAUGUAAACCACAAGAUAAGUUUUUAUAAUUGCUCUUAGAUUUUAUUAAUCCUAACCUUUUAAAGUUCGAGUCUAAUCAUACACAUCUAAACAUAAUUGAAAUAAAAUACUCCUUCCGUUCUCUUUAUUUAGAAAAAAUUUUCUUUUUAGGUGUAUUUUUUAGAUAAAGAAAGUUAUCUCUAAAUAGUAACUUUGGUAUGUAAGUCAAGUUAAAAAGACUAGAAAGCUUUUAGAAUGUGUUUUUUUAAGAUUGAAACUCAACAAUCAAGGAAAAUGGCAGACACAAAUAUUCUCAGCAUUUAAUGCAUGCGUGUUUUAAGGGACAAGUUAUCACCUCACUUUCUAAUUUCAUUUUAUAGUAACAUUGAUCGUUUUUAUAAAUUUGGUCACAUAAAUACAGAGUUAGCGCUUAUUUGUAUAUUUGAUGAAAUAGAUGACCCAGUAGAAAAAAUUAUGAAGGACACACUUACUGCUAUUAAUGCUGAUCUAGGAAAGGAUGCUGACAAUAAAUAGGUUAAUGUAGACUUUUAUUGGUAGUAAAUGUGCACUUUCUAAUUAUCUUUUGCUUUUUUUUAUAAGCCACUUAGUGGCCUUUUAUUUUUAAUACUUAGUGCAUUUUUUUCAAAUCCUUAUAAUGGUUGUACUCUGUUGUAAGCUACUUAGCAGCCUUUUAUUUUUAGUACUUGUACACUUUUUCAAUGGUUUUUGUUUCUCUGUGUUAGUUAAUGGUUGGGAACUUCUGUAAGCCACUUUGUGGCUUUUUAAUUGUUAGUUGAAACUUCUGUAAGUCAUUUUGUGGCCAUAUUUUUAGUACUUAUGUACGUUUUCAUUGGUUUUUGUUUCUCUAUGUUAGUUAACGAUUAUGAAAUUCUGUAAGUCACUUUGUGAUCUUUUUAAUUUAUUAGUUGUGCAUUUCUGUAAGACAUCUUGUGGCCUUAUUAUUUUUAGUUGUGCACUUUUUUAAAUUCUUAUAAUGGUUGUACUCUUUUGUAAGCCAUGAUGUGACCUUAUUAUUAUUGUGCACUUUUGAAAAUGUGAAGUUGUCACACAUUUUGUUAGGCUGUGCACUUUUUUAAAAAAUUAUGCCUUUAAACUCGCAUUAAAACUCGGAGUUUAGUACUCACUUUCAAAUUAAAACUUGUUAAGAGGUUAAAUAUAAUAGGUCAAAUAAUUUUUAGGAACACGUAAGUAUAUGAAUAUAAAUUGAUUAAAAUAAGAUAACAAGAUUACAAAUUGAGAAGAAAUUAAUGUCAUUAAUUCAUUGACUCAUAUUGUAGACAACCAUAAUUAUUUCUGCUUCAUUAUAUAUAAGAUUCAAGUCUGGAGGAUGCAACCAUUUCUAGAUAUGGUGUAACCGAUUCAAAUAUUAUAGAGAAGUGAAUAGAUUUUCUUUGAAUCAGAUUAUUAAUUGUGAUUUCAUUUAUAUAUGGCAAGGUUUAGAAGUCAAGGAAUCUGAUUGUAAACUCAAAAAAUUUGACUCCAAAUUUUAUUUCAUUUUGGCCGCAAUGCAUUGCAUUUGUGCACUACUUUCUCAAUUUCAUUUAAAUUUGUAGAAACUAGAUUUUACUUUUAAUUUUGAAUUUGAAUUGAAAAAUAAUUCAAGUUUAAACAAGUUAGAGCCAAAAUUUAAGUUUUCUCCCCUUUAUUUUCGUCGAAAAUUUGGAAAUUUGUGGCGUUCAAUGAAUAAGUUCAAAAUUUUGAUCUUUAAUUUGGCUCUAAAAUUUUUUUCGUUUUUGUGCACGUAUUAUGUAAAACAUCCCCAUUUUAAUAAAGUCAAAUAAAGUUAAUAAAGAAGGUUGGAAAUAACGCCCAAAUGAUACAAUUAGGCAAUAAAUGCACUUCUUGAGAUUGCUUUUGUGGUAGUUAUUAUUUCCAUAAUUAAUGAUGAAAUGAAGGACAUUUUAGGAAAAAAACUUAAUUUAACUAACUUUCUUAAUCCAAUAAUUUUUUCUGUUUUCUCUAAAUAAAGAAAACAGAGGAAGCAUAACAUAUUAAUACCAAUCAUUCUUUCAAUUGGUCAUACCAAUAUUGGCACCAAAGGAGUUGCUCAAUUUCAGGUUGCUCUUUUCCACUGCUUUAAAACAUUGGAAAGCAGGGUAACCAUAACUAGGUAUGGAAGCGGGGUAGGUACAACGAAUUUUAAGCUAUCUGUACCCCGUAUCCGUAUUCAUCUUAAACUUUAUUAUCUUUAUCCAUUUCAAAUCCGUUUUAAAUAUCUAUUUAAGUAGUCAUAUCCAAAUCCGUUUAAAUUUUUACUACCUUUACAUAUCUGAAACCCAGUUAAAGUACUCUUAUACGAGAAGAGCACCUGUGAAUCUCAAACUAUCAUAAUCCAACUUACAAUUUUUAUUAAUAAUGGAUAGAAUAUCCGUGGGUAUCCACUGCCAAACUCAUUUAAUAUAGCGGAUACCCAAAGACCUAUACCCAUACACUACCCGUAUCCAUAAUGGUUUCACUAUCCGUAUCCGUCUCAAAUCUAUUUAUAACUACUUAUAUCCUCUUUAAACUGAUUGGAGUGAGAGUACCAUAAAAUAUCUGCACCACUUUCAUCCCUAACCAUAACCAUAUAUCAUCUAGUCAAAAUAUCAAAUAUUAGCUUGGAAAAAUUAAAUAAAAAUAAAUUAAGUAAAUAAAUGAAUAUGUAGAGUUUAUUUCAAUUGCAUACAGGAGGGCUCUUGAUAGAAAUGAUCCCAUCAUCUUGAUUCCUUUUAAUUAAUAAUGAUUUUUCUUCUUGCAGACUUUGUACCACUUCUCAAUCCGAAAAAAGGACUGCAAAGAGAGAUUUUUUUUUUUUUUUAAUGUAGCAUAUAUUUGCUUAGGACAUUGACAAAGAAUGCAAAUAAUUUUAGUUUAAUAGUUAAUAAAUUACAAAAUUAAUUAUUUUAAAUGGUGAUUUUAUAAAAAUUAUAGUCAGUAUCAUCCUCGGUAAUAGAUUGAAAUCCCUAUUUUCCUCUUAAUUAAUUAUAAAAUAGUUUGUUUUAACUUAAUUUUGCAUAAGCAACUAUAAAUUUCUUUUUGUCAUGUAAUAUAAUACUUGCAAAAAAUAGAAGUUUAUCCUAAAAAGAAAUAAAUAAUUGCAUUAUAGUACCUUAAGGAACUUUAUUAGAAAAAGAGAACUCUAGUUUUAUUUAGUAUUAUAGAAUUGUCACAUAAUUCUGUAUAUUGCUGUGAAACAUGAAAUAAGUAUUAACACAGACUAAAUUGUAGGCUAACUGGUUAAAGAUUCAAUUCUUGUCACACAACACAAAUGAAGGGGAAAAAACUAAAAAAAAAAAAAAAAAAAAAGUGUUUGAGACUCAAAAUACAUAAAUUUACGCCUACUAUUUAUUAGAAAAAUCUGUUUGCAAUUUUUUAAUUUUUAGUUUGAUAUAUUAGUCUCUUUAAUUUUCAAAAUUACUUCUAAAACUUCGACUUAUGAAAUUAUGUAAUUUUUAAUAAUUAAAUAUGUCUGAAAUUAUGAUAUUUAUAUAUCUUUUAACAUAAAUUGGUAAAAAAUGAUUUUAAUAUUUUUUUAAUUAUACUCAAAGUGUUCAAUAAAUAUAAUUUUAUAAAUAAAAGUGUUUGAUAGGUGUAGUUUAAUUUAGUAUUUUCAUUGAAUUUUCCUUACAAAUGUAAUAAUUUUGUACCCCUUUUAAAUAUGAGAUUAUUCUUAUUUUGAGAUUUAUGACUAUCUCUCUGUAAAUAUUUUUCAUAGAUCAAACUUCUAAUCUUAUAGAGAAUAUAUCUAUUAAAUUUAAAUUUAUCUUACAACUUAAGUUACUCGCUCUUUAUGAUCAGUAAUGUAAAAAAAAAGUGUGAAAAAAUGACACUUCUAAUAUGGGAAAAUUAAAAAAUUUAACAAAUGAAUGAUUUAAAGAGGUUUUACUUUACUUACUAUUUACUUAAAAACUUAAAAGUCUUAUUUGACAAAAUUAGCGAUUUUAAUAUAUAGUUGUUAAUUGUCCUGAUAACUGUCAACUUUUACACUAGCAUUUUAUUAAAUGUUAAAGUGAAUAAAAUUGAGAAAAAUACUUGUCUAGACUGAGUCUAUGGCCCUAUUUAUGGACCAAACCAAUGAUACUAAAGAUUUUUUAAAAAGUGCUCCGACUUGAUCUCUUUUUUUUUCAAAAAGUGUUUGGUCAGAAAUACACUCGUUUCAAUAAAAAUCCUUAGUGUCAUUGGUUUGAUCGAUAAAUGAGUCAUGAAUCUAAUUUAGAUUAGUUUGUCUCUAAAAUUGGUUUGGAAUAUACCAAUCCAAACUGAAAUUCGAUUCAUUUCAAUUUGAAAUAGAAUAUAAAAUUUAAAAUAUAAUCCAUUUUUAAAAAUAUUGGUAUGGAAUGGAAACAUAGUAGAAAUUUUAAUUUAAUUGUAUAUUUUAAUAAUAAAAUUUUUUCAUUUGAAUUACUCUGAUAUCUGUGUUUUGCUUUUAUUUUAUUAUUUUUUCAAUUUCUUAUUUUUGGAUUUUAUUAUAUCUAUUUUAUGGUUACAGGGACUUUCUAUUUUCUAUAUUUGUUGUUACUUUAUUAUUAAUUAAAUGGAAAGUUGUCAAGUGAAGAUAUGUGCUCAUUCCUUAUUUAUAAAUUAAUAUUUUAAUUAUAUAAAAUAUUAAUUUGUUAUUUUUGCAAUUUAAUUAUAUUUUUUUAAUGUUUAUAUUCAAUUCUAAAUAAACAUAUUGAUUAAAUUCUUAUUAAUUUUAAAAAUUUAUAUGUUAAAAGUAUAUCAUAAAGGCUAGAUUUAUAUUUGCAAUUGAAAAAUUUGUAGUUACUAAAUUUUAAAUCAAAAUUUCAUAAAACAGUAUGAUAUAAAAUUUUAAAUUUCAAAUGUUUCGGAAUGGAAUCAAAAUGAUAAUCAUUCCAAUCUAUAUAGACCAAGUUACAUCUUUGGUAAUGUUUCAUAAUUCGCUCUCUCUAACUAUAAAUAUUGUCUCAUCGAAUACUAUAAAUAAUAAUAAGAACAUAUCAAAAUACUAAAUGGUAGAUGAAAAACUAUAGGACGCAACCAUAACUUAAACAAAGUAUAAUAAGUUGGGCCAUCCAUGAUAAAACUACGGGCAGCGAGACAAAUGUCACAUUUAAGGUUUCAAUUUUUAGUAAAUGUCAUAAAAUAUCAAAUAUUAAGAAACUAAUACAUUUGGUCAAAAAUAGAAUGAAAAUACUUAUAGUAACCUCAAAUAAUAUGAAACUAACAGAUUUGGUCAAAAAGAAAACGCUGAAAAAAAAAGGAAGCCCUAAAAAUGAAAAAGGAAACACAAAGAAACACAAAAUCUGUAGCAAAUCCCUAUACAACUUAUAUAAUUUAACAAUGAGGAUGACGACCGGCGACGACGAUCACGACGAUGGUAAAUACGGUAUAUACAAUAUAUAUGGUGUAUAUAUUGUAUUAAUAAAUACAAUAUAUAUAUUGUAUUAGUAAAUACUGUAAAAUCAAUUAUAUGUAUAUAUAUAUAUAUAUAUUAUUAUUAUUAUUAUUAUUAUUAUUAUUAUAUUAUAUCAAUAUCAAUCCAAACAGAAUCGAGAGUCCUACCUUGUCUCUACAGAGCAUAAACAACAUCUAUGGCGGGGGGGGGGGGGCAGCAAAAAUUAAGUCGUUGAUAUGCUCAUACAAAAAUGAAAUCACAUAAGAGAAAUAGAAUUCAAAAAACAAAAAGAAAUUGUGAAACAACGCAAAUAACGAGAAGAACAACUAGUGGUUGAAAAUACAAAAGUAAAAGGAUAAAUAACGAUAAGAAAAUAAUAAACGACAAUAAAAUGAGAAAGAACGAUGUCGAAAAUAAUGGAGGCAGCAAAAAUGCUGCAGUUAAAAAGAAAAGAAACUAAAAAAGAAACAAUAAUUAAAAUAGGAAAUUAAUAAAAAAGAAAAUACUAAGCAAUUAAAAUAUUGAAUUACUAACAAAUGAUAAUUAAAAUAGAAAAUUAAUAAAAAAGGAAAUGAUUUACUAAUAAACUAACGCCUAAAAACAAAUUCAAAUUGAUAAUAAUUUAAAUUAGAAAGUCAAAACUGACAAUCUCUAAACAUAAAUUUCAUAAUAUAACAUUUACUAGAAUUACGAAAAACAGAGAAGGGCAAUCCAAUCUGUUCAGGAAGCAGGCCGGACUUUGUUGUUCAAGCCCAGAGAGCAAGAGGGUCUUCGGGUCAUAAAUUUCGGACAUUGGAUUUGGAGUCAACAAUUAUCAUAUCUGGUUUAGUCUAGUCCACUGAUUGGAUCAGUAAAACAAACUACUGGCUUAGAUUAAAUCUAUUCAUACCCAACGUUUUGCAAAUACCAAUGCUGAAUUCUGCUUUCCGCCACGUCAGCAACAAUAUCCAAUUGUCUGUUAAGAAUCACCUUCCUUUCUUUCUUCUUCACUUCAUUCAUUUCUAACGUCCUAUCCUUUCAACAACCUCUGGCUCUGUUUCUCAGUAUUACAACUGAAUGGACCUUAGCUUCUCUGCUAAAUUCCAAGCCUUAACCCUAAUUUCUACUUCUCAGAUUUCUUUUCUCUCUUCCAAUAAAUCGUCCAUUCGAAGAGAAUUCCUUGGUUGCUCUCACAAUCUCAGGCCUCCUGGUGGUUCUCUUCGAGUAGGCAAAUGUAGGAAAGUGAAGAUUCGAAGAAGCCAAUCUCAAAGUUUGUUACUCAACGCUUCUUUUGGUUCAGAAUCUGUUCUUGUUGCAGUUGCUGUGUCUACUCUCUCUGCUAUCUCUUUUGCCUACCUUAAUCAGCAAAUAACCAGCAAUAACGGCAACCGAAAGGAUUCGAAAGAGGUAAAAUGAAAAUUUUGGGGUUUUUUUUUUUGUUUUUUAGCCAAUUUGAGUUGUGUGUUAGUUCAAUUAGUUUAGUUUUAAUCUAAUUUCUAUGCUGAAGUCUUUAAUGUCUUGCUACUGUUACAGGCCUCGGGUUCACCUGGACUUGGCUCUUCUCAAUUAGGCAAAAAUAUUGUGAACCACGUUAUUCAAACUCCAUCCGCGGAUGUUGGGAAUAGUCUCAGGAGUAUCCUUGCUACUGAAAGUGAAAACUUGGUGGAGAAGGCCAUAGAAAACAGCCAUGCAAUAGAGGGGGAAGAGACAGUAGUACAAGUUUGUGAAAAUACUUUGAGAAGUACCAGUUCUAUUUUGUUUGAAACGUCAGAAUACGACAAUGCUGACUUCCCAGUAUCUAAUGUUUCUAAUUAUGUGGUUCCAAAAGAAUCUGAAGCUACUAAUGUAUCAGUUUCUAAAGAAUCUGCAAUUCCUGAAUCAGAAAAGGUGUUACCACUCGUACUUAAUGCUAGGGGAAUGUCUGAGCUGACAUUAGAAAAAAGCGGAAAUGAAACUGAUGUUCACGAGGUUGAUGCUGAGUUAACUCAUCUAAUGGAACAGAUGUCUAACAAUACUGCUUCACCUCCUGUAAAUUAUGAAGCUGGUGAAAAGAUUGACCUUUCUAGCUAUCAUGGUAUCAUCAAAGAAUCUGCUAGAGAGGACCUUUACAUGUUUUAUGACAAAAGCCAGUCAGUGGUGAAAUCUCCAUUAAACUUAAAUGGUUCAAACUCAGUAUCUUCUCAUGCCUCCCCUUCGAUUGGCAAUAGCUUUUCUUCAUUCAAGGUGAAUGGCAUUGUAAAAGAGGCAGAUUCGUCAGCACAGCAGUCUCCCAAAAUUGCAGGUUAUGCCACAAAAUAAGAUAUACCUCAUUUUUAUUUAAUGUUUUGAAGUAUGGAUCUAAUCUGUUUUAAUCUAACUAUACUGUACUGGAAAUUCUUACAAGUUUAACUGAAGCAAUUUUUUUUCCAGAGUCUGUUGAUAAAAAAGUACGUCUUGCGCAUUAUGUAAGAGAAUCUUCUCGGAAAAAUGAAAACACAAGGAGAAGGAGAGGAUUUCCAACAGAAAAGGAAAAAGGACGUCCAGUUCAGAAUAAUCAAAUAAAACUACCAGAAUUUCCCUACCCGAAUGGCGUGCAUGUGAUUGACAAAGACCAUCCUUCACAGCAAGUCCAUGCUUACAAUCGUUUGCUAAGAGAUGGAAGGUGAUUUUCAUCAUUCAUUUGUUUAUAUACAGCUUAUUGAUCUGUCUCCUUGUCAAAAUGCCGCAGUAGAGAUAGUAGCUAGCAAAUAAAGUUUGUUUUGAAUAAUAGACCACCAAAAGAAGUGAGUUUCUGAACAUUAUUGUGAGCUGUGGUUUCUUCUUUUUUUAGGUUAACGGAGUGUGUAAGUUUGCUUGAAGAUAUGGAAAGAAGAGGCUUGCUAGACAUGAACAAGGUAAGGCUAUAGAGUAUAGAUUUAGCAAUUAGUUCAUAUGUUGUUCUUAUCAAUCAAUUUCAUUAUCAGAGUUAGUACUGCAGUGAUUUCUCUGGUUUCAGAUUUAUCAUUUCUCUGUUUCAGAUUUAUCAUGCUAAGUUUUUCAAGAUAUGCAAAAUUCAGAAGGCUGUUAAUGAAGCUUUUCGCUUCUGCAAGUUGGUUCCAAAUCCAACAUUAAGCACAUAUAACAUGCUCAUGUCUGUGUGUGCAAGUUCUCAAGAUUCAUCGGGUAAGUUGAUUUGGAACUCUUGGAUACCUUGUCAGAUAUGUGUAGUGUACUGUGAAUAUGGUUCCAAUUCCUGAUAUCUGUAUUAUUCUUUCAGGAGCUUUUCAAGUUCUACAGCUUGCCCGAGGGUCUGGACUGAAAGCAGAUUGCAGACUUUACACUACUUUAAUAUCUACCUGUGCUAAAAGUGGAAAAGUUGAUACAAUGUUUGAAGUAUGGUAACUUUUUUUUUUUUUUUUUUUUCCCGGGUUAAUUUUUCAAUUAAAAAAAAAAAAAAAAAAAAAAAAAAGAAGAUUUCAGAACAUCUCUUUUAUGGUUUUAUUUCUCAUUUCCUUGAUAGUUUAUGCUCUGGCCAUAAAUGUAACAUUUUACCCUUUUUUUUUUUUUUAUCCUCUUUUUGUUCUUGCCAUUUUCACUAAUUAGCGAGAAAAUUCUAAAUUCCUGGCCUAACCUUUUUUUUUUGGCUUUUUAUGAAAGUUAAGUUGGAUUUGAAAAGAUGAUGAAUUCUGACCAAGAUUCCUUGUUCUCUUGGAGCUUUUAUUAAUUUCACUUUUAAUGAAGGCCAUAACAAUUCCUGCACAGAUGGGCCCUUGUUGAGACCUAUGUUAAUUAUUAUGAAUGACUAACAAGUAUCCUGAUGGCUGUGGUAGGUGUUUCAUAAGAUGGUUAAUGCUGGAGUUGAACCAAAUGUUCAUACAUAUGGAGCACUAAUAGAUGGCUGUGCCAGAGCAGGACAACUAGCUAAGGCAUUUGGCGCUUAUGGGAUAAUGAGUUCCAAGGUAUCGUAUGGAAUUUUACAAGAUGUAUAUGUCUGUCUCACUGGAAUUUUUAUAUGGAACUUUCUUUAUCCUAUCAGACCCUAAUGCUUAUUCUCAAAUAAUAUUUUGUGCAAGGCUGUGGUGGCCAUAUUCUUGUUUACUUCUCUCCUAAUGUCAAAUUAAUCUUCGCAUUGAUAAGUUGUUUUAUGCAGUAGAAAGUGAAGCCAGACCGAGUUGUCUUCAAUGCACUUAUAAAUGCAUGCGGCCAAUCAGGAGCUGUGGAUCGUGCCUUUGAUGUGUUAGCAGAAAUGAGGGCUGAGACACAGCCUAUUGACCCUGAUCACAUCACUGUUGGUGCAUUAAUAAAUGCAUGUGCAAAGGCUGGUCAGGUUGGUCUAUUAUCUAAUCUGUGCUUUUGGUUUCUUGGUGGUAGCUUUAUUAAUUUAUGACAGAAUGGAAUAUUACUUUCAGAUUAAUCGAGCAAAAGAAGUAUACAACAUGAUGCAUGAAUUUAACAUCAAGGGGACUCCAGAGGUUUAUACUAUUGCUGUUAAUUGUUGUAGCCAGACUGGUGAUUGGGAGUUUGCCCGUAGUGUGUAUGAUGACAUGAAAAGGAAAGACGUGGCCCCUGAUGAGGUAUCAACUGCUCAUUCUGGUAGAAUCAAUAUAAAAUUAGUAAUAUUAUUUGGAAAAUGGUUUAUAGUGGAAAACUGUGGUCUUUAGUAGUGUGGUUAUGUCUUAUGAAUAAUGUGCUCUUCUUGUUUGGUAUAGAAGCAAAAACUGAUGAAUUUUAUUAUCCAUACGGCCUUUGCAGUGGACUGUUGCUUUAGCUCUUUUUCUUUUGAAGAGUGAAUUAAUCAAUUUAUUUACUUAAAAAAUCAUCAAAGAGGGUGAACUUGUUUACAUUACAAGUGUAAGAAAUUAAGAACAACUACAAAAAUGACUGUUAGCAAAUCUAGAAAAUGAAAAGUAAUCUACCAUUACAAAAUUAAGGAAUGCUCAACCACCUCUCAUUAAGUAUAGCUAUGGAGAGGGUUUCACAUUAUUAAAGUGAUUGUUGUUCUUACAAAUCAUGCAGAUGUUUCUUAGUGCGUUGAUAGAUGUAGCGGGGCAUGCUGGAAAGGUGGAUGUUGCAUUUGAGAUCUUACAGGAGGCAAGGAUUCAAGGAAUGCAACUUGGAAUUAUACCAUAUAGUUCAUUGAUGGGAGCUUGCAGCAAUGUAUGUCUCUCACACUCAGUGUUGUGGUAAAAAAGCUAUUUUGGUUCAUGUAAAUGGUUCAAUUUUUGAUUUCGAGUCAUGAAGUACCAAAAUUAGACAUUCUUGCCAAAUUUGAAAGCUAUAUGUGAGUUACCUAAGGAUUUAGGCUGUAGCUCUAGAGUUUUCACGUUCAACUAUCUAAGCUUUUGGGUCUGAGUCCUGUUUUUAUCAUGAAACAUAGGGUCUUUAUUGUAAGUCUCUGUUGGUUCCAAAUUAUAGUUUUGCUUCCACCUUUUAUAUUUUUUUAUCAAAAUUAGUCAUGGCAUAUGGAGGGACUUAUCAUUCAUGAGCAUGGAAAAAACAGAGAAAGUGUAUAAGUUAUUUUGAGGUCAUUUGAUUCUUGCUUUGCAUGUUUAAAAUUCAAACUAAAAAUUAUGAUAAAGGCCAGAACCUGCUAAACAGUUACAACUUUUCUUCCUUUUGUUUUAGGCCAAGAACUGGCAAAAGGCACUGGAGCUAUAUGAAGAUAUCAAAUCCAUUAAAGUGAACCCAACUGUCCCGACCUUGAAUGCCUUGAUCACUGCCUUGUGUAAGUCUGUGACCUAUUUCUUCUUUCAAAAUAAUCUGAUUUGAUUGGAGAUCCAUUUGGUGUCUAAUAAUCUGUUUGUUACUGAACUAUGUAGACAACCUAAAACCACCCUAUACUGAAUGCUGUACAUGGAUUGGCUACCCACCCAAUAUAUUCUUGCUGCUAUCUGGGUAUUUGAGGGGGCUAGAGUGAAGUCUUGAUAAAUGACUCUUAGUAAAAGGUGUAUUAGAGGGUUAUCAACACUGGUCUAUGUAGCAUUAUUGAUAUCUUGAAAAGGAGAUGCUUGGUACUGUUAAAUUCUAGAACAAACAAGGUUGAGAUAUUUUGAUGUCAUAUUCUUAUAGAUUGAAGAAGUAUUUAUUGACAGAUCUGAUUAUGGUGAGGUCACUAUCCCAAUACAAAUUAGUGCAAUUAUACCGGAAAAAUGGCCUAAUCUGCACCUUGGAAAUCCACCAAGAGGAAGAGAGAAAUAAAGAGAAAAGUUUCAACUUUUUUUUUUGAUUCAUUGGGUGGCCCAAUUGGCCGAAUAACAUGGUGGGCUACACAAUAGAAGAGGCCCUCCCUUUGGCUUACUAAAUUAUUGAAAAUUCUUGUAGUCGAGAUAACUCGAACUCGAGACUCCCCACUUUUCACAUUGGUGAGAAGACCAACCAGACUACACUUGGUUGGCAAAAAAGUUUCAACUUUAUUGAUGCUGGAAAAUGAAAGUUGAAUGCAAAAUUUAAUUACUUACGGUCCUUGUAACCUAUAGGUUAAUUCCUUCAACUAAUUAGGAAGUAAGCCUCCUAUUAAAACUAAGAACAAUAUAGGUCCAAAUAAAAUAACUUCUAAAUAAUAUAGAUCAUCUAUAUAUAUUCUGUUCUUUCUAUAUAAGGAAUCCAACAAAGAUAUUUAAGCAAAAACUACUGACUUAAUGGCCACGUAUUAAAAAUCAAUGUAUUAAAAUCUUUUACAAAUAAUUCUAGGUCUAUUAUAGUAUUGCUUGGAAUUCUCAUGCAUCAGCCAUUAUUACUGGUAGAGCUGUUGCUUAAUUGUAUGCCCAAUAGAAUUUAUUGUAGCCAAUUUUAUUUUUUUUUCUUUGGUUGAUGUGGAAUUCAAUUGAUUCUUAGGAAAAUUUAAGAUGACAUAUAUUAUUAGACUAAUAUUUAUUUUUUGUAUGUAUGCUUACAUAUCUGGAACUUGGUAAAAUUUCUGCCCUUUGAUCUUUGGCACAUUAUUUGUGAAUCAAUAUAGAUUUUUGGCGAUGACUUGUGUAGAAGUGUAAUUAUAGAAUAGCAAAAGACAGGAAAUUAAAUAAAGCAGAUUUGCUGCAGGUGAUGGGGAUCAAUUGCCAAAGGCUAUUGAAGUUAUGUCAGAGAUGAAGAGUUUUCGCUUGUGCCCAAACACUGUUACAUACUCCAUACUCUUUGUGGCUAGUGAAAGGUAAAUGAACUAUGAUUUCAAUUACUAUUAUUUAAAACAAUGCUUUUCAACAUGUACCUUUGCCUCAAGUGUCAUAACUUCAAUUUUUUUUUUUUUUUUUUUUUUUUUUCUUUUUUUUUUUUUUUUUUUUUCUUUUUUUUUUUUUUUUUUUUUCUUUUUUUUUUUUUUUUUUUUUCUUUUUUUUUUUUUUUUUUUUUCUUUUUUUUUUUUUUUUUUUUUCUUUUUUUUUUUUUUUUUUUUUUUUUUUUCGGGUUUGUUUUUGUGCAGAAAGGAUGAUCUAGAGGUUGGCCUCAGGCUUCUUUCACAAGCCAAAGAAGAUUGCAUUGCCCCCACCCUCAUUAUGUACAAAUGCAUAAUAGGUAAGUUUCAAAGAGAACCAAAAAUGCUUUCUUCCAAACAUUUGUCAAUCUAUUUUUCCCUGCUGUUUGUAGUUAAUUUUUUUCUAUAUUUUGUGUUUAAGCUUCCAAGAAUUACUUGUUUAUGCAGCCAACCUUCUAAUAUAAAUAGGAGUUAUUAUCUCCUAUAAAUUUAACUAAUCUUUUGACUGUUUCCACUUGAAAGGCAUGUGCCUGCGAAGAUAUGAGAAGGUUUGUGCUCUUGGUGAGCCUGUUUUAUCAUUUGACUCAGGCCGGCCACAAAUGAAAAAUGAGUGGUAUUUCAUUUUUUCUCCCCAUUCAACUAGUAGAACUAUUUUGUUAGGCAUGUAUUUUCGAAUUUCUUUGCUUUUAUCAUUUUUACCUUUGUUUGUUUUUUUUCUUGGGAGGAGUGGGUUCGAUUGUUCCUUCAACUAGUGUUACCCUGGAAAUUUUAAGAGGAUGGCUAUUAUUCAUGAAUAGUAAUCUUACUGUAUGUGAGUAAUUUUCUAAGUUCUAAUCUCCUCCAUUUAUCCUUCAGGACAUCACUGGCCUUAAUGGUCUACCGUGAAACAAUUGCAGCUGGCGAGAAACUUACAAUGGAAGUUGUUUCACAAGUUUUGGGAUGCCUGCAGCUCCCUUUUGAUGCUUCGUUGAAACACAGAUUAGUUGAAAAUCUGGGAGUUACUACUGACUCGUCAAAAGUCUCUAACCUCUGUUCUUUGGUGGAUGGAUUUGGAGAAUAUGAUCCUCGUGCAUUUUCAUUGCUUGAGGUCCGUAGGCGACUGAACCAUUUGGACAAUUUUCUGACUUCAUUCUUUCUUAUGAAACUAUAAAUGGGAUGCUAGCUAAGACUGUUACCAAUUGCAGGAAGCUGCUUCUCUUGGAAUCAUUCCUUGUGUAUCCUUCAAAGAAAGUCCUAUCAUUGUUGAUGCUAAAGCAUUGCAAAGUCAUGUGGCUCAGGUAAUUUUUUGACAUGUAUUUUACUGCCAGUUAGAUGAUAGUAAUUCUUCUGAAAAUUUUCUGUUGUCUAAAUAACUUCUUUGCUUCCUUGAGGCUCUACACUUGCUCAGAAUGCAUUUCUAAUUUUCAUGCUUCUAAAUUGCUGAUAUUAUGAAAUGUGGACUGCUCCAUUAUUUUUCUUUAGUGAACUGUUAAAAAUAUUAUAACAUUGUUAUGUAUUGACAAUUGAGUCUUCACUGAGGACUUUUAUUUGUCAUUUUAUCUCAUUCCUAUAUCAUUGGCAUUUUCAUGGUUCCAUUAUUUUCUUUUGUUCACUUGCUUCAUUUAUUAUCUCUAAGCUUGAGCAAGAGGAAAGCAGAUAACUUGCAGGAAGUAGGACGUGUACAUUGUUUGCUCAAAGGGUUAUAUGAAUUCUGAGCCAAACCAGUUGUUUUGGUUUCCAAUUUUUAUAGUUUCAUAAGAAAGAAAGAGAUUCAAAUUCAUUGCUCAAAACUGAAAUCUAGCAACCCCUAAUUUCGACAAACUCCACAUACUUUUGGGCUAAAAGCCUCUGCCUAUUCCAUUCUUGAUUAGGAGUUACCUCAAAAAAAAACAAAGAAUUUGACUCUCAUUUAUAGAGAGUAUAUUCUUGCCUCCCUUUUACAUUGUUAAUGCUGUAUUUUGAAUAACUAAGUGAGAUUGUGGCAUGCAAUCUCACUAGAUCGCACAUCUGAAUUUUAAAAGGAGAAGAGUAAUUAAGGUUUUCUGCUCUCUUGCUCAACACUGUGUAGAAGCUUAUAGCCCAUCAAUUGCAAUGGACUUGGCAGGAGAGUGCAAAAUGGAUAAAGAUGAAUUGAAAUAUUUUACAUAAUUUUAUGGAUAACAAUUAUAUUAUGACAUUGUGGUUGACAAUGCACAUCCUACUGUCUCUGACAUAAAGCAAAAUAUGAGUUCAAAUUAUCUUCCCUAUUCAAUUUGUGCUGCUUCUUUCAUUUUGACGACUUCCUGGAGAAUCUUGUCAGGUGUACCUUUUAACCAUUUUGAAGGGUCUCAAGCAUCGGCUUGCUGCUGGUAAUUUUUGUUUAUAAAUACCUUUUUUAGAAUUCAUUGAAUUCUACAAUAUGUUAAUUUCUGAGUUUCAACUGAGGAUUAAAAGUUGAAUGAAGUUCCUUAAAGCACAAAAAAAGAAAAAUGCAUGUGCAUCAUUUCUCCCAAACUAUUGAAAAGCUCAUAAUGCUCUGUUUUAUAGGCGGUAGUUUAUGAUGUUCCAUUUUCUAUUUCAGCUGGCCUCGUUUUUUUUACUGUUUUUCUAGCUGUAGAUGUGAUAAAGAACAAAAAUGAAAAGGGGGAGAGACAAAGAAACAAGAGGAGGGAAAUUAACAAAGAAUCUUGAAAGAAUACCAUUAACCUCAAUUCCAAUUCAUUAUUGAUAAACCCUUUCUAACAAUUGGCUGGGGUGAUUUUGAUUGUGAAAUAUGACAAUUUCGAAAUAGGAUUAAAUAAAAAUUUAUAAUGAUGAAAAUAUUUUUGUUGUUUAGCUGGGAUACUUGUACUCUGCGCUGUGCUAAAGAAGGAAAAACUUGGUUAGGUAGCUUCUAUUUAAUUUAAUUGAAUGUGCAAUUGCUAACUUUUAGUUUUUUCGCUACCAACAAAACUUUCAACAGGUGCAAGGUUGCCCAAUAUAACGAUUUUACUGCCUACAGAGACGGCACAAGUCAAGGUGCCUGAAGGGGAGAAAACAAUCAACAUUGCAGCAAGGUGAGAAGUACUACUUUGAAGUGUCUUGAGUGUUAAUAUUUUUGCCUGAACUCCAUGCUUCCUCUCAUCUUUAUCUAUAGCAUGUUAUGAAGUUCUAUACCAUUUUUCUGGAUAAACUGGAAAAUCUGGCCAAAGGUCUGCAUUUAUGGGUUUGUUAACCUUCGGUUGUUUAAUUGUGUUGGAGAGGAAGUGCUGAACUAAUAAGAUAGUUAGUGGUGUUGAUUGGCUAUUAUAUCAAUAGCUGUAGCUAUUGGCUUUGAAAGAUCAAAUGCAUCCGUCAUAAAAUUUUAGUCCAAAACCUGCAUUGCAAGAAAUGGGGCCGUGCAUGGGUCGAGUUCAGUUUGGGGAUUGAAAAUCUUUUCGAUGCUAAGCAAAAUUAAUGAGUGAAACCAUAUUGAAACUUUAAAGAAUUGAAAACUGAAUUAUCUUGAAAAUUUGGUCUGUUUUGGUUCAGGGAUUCGAUUCUUUGAGUUCCAGUCCAAUUCAUAAAUUUCAAUAAUUCAUGCUAUAAAUAAUAAAUUAUUUAUCUAAUAACUAAGAAUGACUAAACUUUUACCAUGCUAUAUAAUAUAUGUGUGUGUGUGUGUGCGUCUGUGUGUGUAUAAUUAGUUUAAUUUUCAGGUUUUUUGAUUCAGCACAAUCCAGUACAGUUUGGUACAGUUCUCAAAUCUGAUUAUUACUAAACAUCCAAAACCACGCUAUGAUGGUAUUGAUUCAAUUCAUUUCUGGUUCCUACAUUGUUCAGUUGUUUAGGUUCUGCUACCUUCCAGUUCAGUCUUUUGGUUCAAUCUGGUAAUACAAAGAUCUGCACACAAUCCUAACCGGAAAGGCCUAAUGACCAAUAUAUUUUGUGUCACCUGGACACUUUUUGUGGAAUUUUCAGGAAAUAUAAAGUAUUUGUUUAAUCCUAGCUUUGGGGGAACAAGCAUACAAGACAGUUAUCAUAAGAUAUAAUGUUUCCAUAAACAAGCGAUGCACGAUAAACAAGUUAAAGGAUAAAUAACCAUGCAUGAUUCUAAAAGUAAAUGCUUUGAUUGGCAGGGUGAGCCAAGAUGUUGCUGCUCUAUUAAGAAGGCUAAGGCUGCAUUACCAAGGAAAUGAAUCAUACGGGAAAAUUAGAAUCAACGGAAUUUCCUUAAAAAGAUGGUUUCAACCAAAGCUUGCUUAUCCUUUCAGUGGAAAACCAGAAGAGUUGAACUCAUCUCUAUUACGAAUAGGAAAAGACAUCAGUCAUCAGCAACGUAAUAUUCGAACUGGAAAUUUGUCUCUGGAAUAAGAGGAAGAAUGCUUAUUGCUGCUGACAGGGUAACACCAUUAGAAGAUUUGAGUUAUACAUCAAUUUUUUUCCUAUAAUAAGACAACAUGACAGUUAUGGGGAACGACCUAGUCUCAUUAUCAUGCAAUAUGGCCAAAUUUCUGCUAUGUUGUUGAAUGGCUUUUGGAAAAAUUGUGAACGAAAGUUGUGCUCUCUCCUUCCAAGGACAUGGCGGCGAUACUUCCCCUGCAGUUUAAGAGAAUGAGACAUAGAAUUAAAUAAUUUCCGGCUGAAAGAAAAGAGAUUGUUGAUUCAGCAGUCACUGAUCAUGAUUUUCCAUUUUGUAGAGAAGUAUAUUACUCAUAGCAGGCCAACAAACCAGUGCCUGCAACUUGGAAUAACUGAAAGAAUAUGAAGAUUCGUGUAUAAUAUUUGCUGAAUACCACUUGUAAGAAGAUACAUAUCAUCUGUACAUUGUCAAUUUUGAAUGUAUUACCGUAUUAUUAUCGCAUAAGAAGAUAUUCACACUAGGGAAAAGUACUUUUUAGUCCCUGAGUUUUGACCCAAUUUACUACUCCGACUUCUAUUUUGGUAAACAUAUAUAAUAUCCCUGAGGUUUGGUUUCACCCACCCAAAUGGUCCUUCCGUUAAAAAUAGAGUUUUUUACUGUUAAAUAUCAAUUAAAAGGACGCAAAUGCCCUACUAUAUAAAAUCACAUCUUAUCUCCUCUUACCUCCUUUCUCUCUCCGUCUCCUUUCUAUCUUUUUCUCUGUCUCUCUCCAAUGGCAACAUGAUCUACUAUGAAAAAAUUUAUAGAAGCCAAAAAUUUUCAAAGAUCUAAAAUCACAACUGGCAAAGCUUCAACAACUGAAAUAUGGGUCCUUUACCAGCAAAGUGGUAAUGUUCACCUUCCUUUGUUUUUUUUACUUUUUUUCGCAAAAACAAAAAAUAAAAAGAAAAUUUUUAGCGUUAAGCUUUAAGAAAAUUUUCAAAUCCAAAGCUUAAGAAAAUGGUGUGAGGUUUUUGGGUAAGGUCUAGAGAAUUUUUAGUUAGCUUUUUAUUAUUAUUUUAUUUUUCUGGGGUAAUUAACAUCUUUAUGGGCUUUAUUAUAGAUUCAUUCAAUAACAGAUUUAUAUUGAUCGUUUUAUGGAUUUUACCAUAAAUUCAUGGGCUUUUCUUCAUUUUCUUCAUUAUUAUUAUUUAUAUUUCUUCAUUUAUAGGCAUAAAAGAGAAUUGACUAAUGGAUUGGGAGAUGGACGCAAAUUUGAGUUUAUUUUCAUCCCUGUUUUCUUUCAAAGAUAUAAUUUUAGUUUGUAUUGUUAUCUGUAAGUUUAUUGUAUGAGUUAAAUUUAUCAAUAAUGAAUGAAAUAAAAAUUAAAAAAAAAAAGUCUGCAAUGAUAUAUGUUUGAGUAUGAAAGAGUUGAAAUUUAUAGGUAGUGGUGGUAGAUUUAAAACCCAACGAUGAAAAUAAAUUCUGGCAGUGAGUAGGAAUUGUUGCUGCUUGCAGCAAGAGAAAGAUGAAGAUAAAGAAAAGGUUGAGGGUUAAUGGGUUGGUGGGAGGGUAAUGUAGUCUUUUCUCUAAUAUUUGACGGUGCAAAUGCUUGUUUUUUUGGUUCACGGACCAUUUAGUUCUCCGGAAUCAAAUCUGGAGAUAUUUUAUACGUUUACCGAAAUAGAAGGACGGAGAAAUAAAUUAGGUCAAAUUUCAGGGACUAAAUAGCACUUUUUCCUUUGUACUAUUAUCUUAAAAGGAAAAACAUUGUUGUGGAUAAGCUGAAAUCAGUUGCUCAAACCCAACUGAACCUCUGAAAAUUCUUUUGCUAUUACUGUUACCAGCUCCGGAGAGUUACUGUUGCCUAUGGUAAAUGCGUUACGAAAUAUGAAGGUUAUUUGGACCUGGGAAUGCCAACGAUUCUACUUAAAAUAGAAUGGAAAGAUAAAUAAAUGUUUAAUCUGAGAAACUCUAUUCAGAUUUUAGAAUUAAUUUAUUGUAUAAAGAACUAUUCUAAAACAACAUAUCCAAACAUUAAAAAUGAAAUUCUUUUACAAGAAAUGCAUAUAUUAUCUAUGCAACUUCAAAACAAAUCAAAUGAUGUUAUUCUUGAGUCUUUUAUUGUAACGUUAUUGAUUUGAGAGGUUAGUUUGGUUGUCACAUUCGAAAAUUCCUCAAAAUCCCCUAAUUUUCAACUGCAAAAUGUUUUGCUUCAUGUGAAACAUGAAUCAUUCCUUUGUCAAGUGCAUUAGUGUAGGAAUACCCUUUAUGAAGAAUUGGUUGGUUGGUUCAUGAAUAAACUAGAAAUUGCCAAGAAGUUUCCAAAACUCAUUUCAUAUACCACUUGAACAAAGAAGUUCCUCUCCUUCAAUGGAAAUUUGAGCAAAGUUUCAAAUAAAAUUUAAUAUUGUAGCAGAGUUUCAAAUAAAAAUUAAUGUGAAAGAGUGACAAAUAAUAUAUAAUUUGUCAAAAAAAAAAAAAAAAAUCCUUCAUGAUCCACUCAAAAGUGGAAAAAUUUACAUAAUGUAUAAUAUUGCGCAAUCCUCCUAUCUUUCUAGGAGGAAAAAAAAAGGCAAGAUAAAAAAACUUGCGAAAAAAAAAAUGAUCAUAUUUUCACAAGGCAAGAACUCUAGAAGUAAGAUGAAUAAAAGCAUCCUCAUUGCAAGGAAUUGUAAGAGCACCCAUUGGGUGAUUGAACCCAAACUCUUCUUCAGCCUGGUUAAGUAAAUCUUGGAAACAAGGAUGAUUCAAAUAAGAAAUUGGGACAACAUAUCUCUUCCUUUCAACUUCUCCAACAUAAACGGCUACAUGCCCUUUUGGUACCAUGGACUGGUUUUUGCCAUGGAAAGACUGUUUCUUGAGAAUUUGAAGAAUACCCAUUUCAAGAUUUGGAAAUUUUGUUGAAAGGAAGAGACUUCUACAGAAAUUGCUGAUCUAAUUCGGAGCUUGAAGGUUGGUUGGCAUUGGAUGUGUACUUAUACUAGGGUUUUGGAAUCUGGGUGCUUUUAGUAGGACCCACAACAUCAAAGACUCUCACAUGGCUCCUCAGAGAAGAGAAGUCUGUACAAUUAAAUUAUAUAUAUAUAUAUAUAUAUAUAUAUAUAUAUAUAUAUAUAUAUAUUUUUUUUUUUACAAAAAAGAAAUACAGAAUUAUCAAUUUUAGCAGCAUCCUUGCAUGCUGUUCUUAUGGUGCAAUAGUGCCACUUGUGAGUUGGCAGUGUGAUUGGUCUAAUCUAAUCUAAUGAUAUAUACGCGGACAUUAGAGGGUGGCUUCAGUGUAUUUGGACCCUCUAAUGGCCUGUAAAGCGUUUAAGUCUAACCUGACGGCCGUACAAUAGGAAAUAAAAACGAAAGUUCCUCAUAAAGCAUAUAUAUGGUCAGACUCCAACAACUGAGAUAAAGCCCACUUCUAAUCGUCAUUCAUCUGGAAACCUUAUUUUUUAUUUUGUUAAAGAAUUCAAAGAAAAUAUAUAAAUUUUAUAUUUUAAAUUUUAUUUUCGGGAGUAUCCUUUGUCCGAAAAGGAUAGAGACCUCCCUCCAAAGGUUUCUCUAUACACAAUAUAAUAUAUUGAAUCUAAAUCACUUGCUUAAAACGAUCGAGCCAUUCUAUUCAGACCAAUUUACAUUAGUAUAAUGUAAAUAAGAAGUAUACACCCUUUUGUCUACGAAAAUAACAAAAUCUUAUUAAUAAUUUAUCUUUUUAUGGAAAAAUUUAUUAAUAAAAUUAAUGAAAACAAAUCAAACUUGAAUACUAUAAACUAAUAUUUUAUCAAUUUAGUCAAUUCUUGAAUGAUGGAAUCGUGUAACAAUCUUGCUGUUACCUAAUUUUAGAGUCUAAUUUUAAUAUAAAAGAGAAAAACUAACAAAUAGUUAGUUCUUUCCAUAUUGUUUUUCUUUUUAUGGCAUAUCAGAUGAAAUGGUGAUGAAAAUUUUGAGAGUAUAUGAACUUCAGUUUGAAUAUUUCCAAAUAAUAAUUGAUAGUAGAUGAUUGAGAGCCCACUCCGCUACUCGUUCUUACAUGCACAGCACAUGGAAUCAUGUGCUUCUUUUCCUGCAAAAUCUUUCUUGGGAAUAUACUCUGCAUCUGAUGUGAAACUUACUAUAUAGAAUCACUAAUGCAGAGAUAAGAAAGGUUCAUGAUUAGAUCAAUCAGUAGCUGUGGAUUUUUCUGCUAAAAGAACAGGCAGUAGUUGUUGCCUCGUAACCCUAUUUUUUUUCUCCUCCACCUCCAUUGUAUCAUACUAUAUCAAGCUUAGAUAUUUUUUUUUAUAUGUUAAUUUAUUCUCUUAAAGAAAUAAACUAUUCAAAUCAAAGAUGAGCAGAUUCAUAAAGAGUAUCUUCAUCUUAAUUAUUUAAUUGCAAAAUUAAAAUCUUAAUCAAUGAUGAGAUACCAAAAAAAAAAAAAAAAAAAAAAAACUAUCUCAGUUUAAGUCAUUUAAGAGAAAAUUUAAUAUUAAUUGAAGUCUAAAUUGACUUCAAAUUGUUCUUAAUUAAUUAUUAGCAGUUAAAAUAAAGAAUAAAGAAUUAAAUCAUUAAAUAAUAUUACAAGUGUAUAAAUGAACUGAGCAGGAAGUAGUUGAUAAUAUCAAACUUAAAUUAUAUGAUUUUUGUAGCUAUGCUUCCAUGGAAAAUUAACAAAAUGAAAGUUUUUGGUUCUAAAAGAUAAGUCAAAUGUUGAAUAUGUGCAGUCAUUCUUCUAGAAGAAGUUGGCUUUUCACUCUUCUCUGUUUGAUUAUUUCAUGCCUUAGAUUAUGCCUCGAUAAAAAACUUUCUUUGGAUUAAUAAGUCAGAAGUAAUUUCUGAACUCAGAAGCUAAAUCAACUUGGUUUGCGAGCCUAUAAGCUAUUGCUUGUAUAUUAAUUUACUACUUCUUUUUAAUAUCAGCUAGUUUAUUAUUUAUGGAGUGUUUGACUCGACUGAAAUUCAAUAUUUUCAUAGAAAUUUGUUUUUUUUUAGAAAAAUAAAUUGUCAAGAAAGUAAAUAAUCAAUUUUGGGUUAAAAAUAAAUUUUUCUAUCAAAUCAAAUUAAUAUAAUUAAGAAUAUUAAUAUUAUUAUGUUUUUUAAAAAUAACUUAUUUUUUUUCUAGAUAUUAAAAUUUCUCAUCCUUUGAGAAGAGAAAAUACAUUUCCAUAUAUGGAAAAAUAAGAAUGGAGCGAUCUAUAUUUGAAAAUUAUACUUUUUUAUAGUGUAGACUUCUUAUAUUGACCAAAUAUCGAAAUUUUAUUUUUCUCAUAAUAUUCCAGCAACCAGGCACCGUUAAAUUUAAGAUUUGUGUAUUUUGUUUAUUAUAAUUAGUAAUUUUGGUGUAUUGUUUUUUCUUCUCAACUCAAAAUUAACAAUGCAUUUUAAACAUGAGGUGACGAACGUUUAAAGCAUGAGGUGUAGGUAAGUCAUUCUUUAGAUAAACUAAAAUUGGGAAAACCUUUUUUAUUAAUUUUUAUUUGUUUCUGGAGAAAAUCUUUGUCAUAUAUUAACAAUUUCAAAUGGUCAAAGAGAUAACAAUCACACUUUCUCUUCCUUUUCUCUCUCUCUUAAUUCUAUUCUAAAUUUAACUUUUUUUUCUUCAGGUACUGAAUUUAAACAUUAAUUUCAAAUUUAAAUUUUACUCGAUUUAAUGCAUAAAAAACUUUUUUCUUAGUACUCACACUCUCUCUUAUGGUCAGGUUAUGUCACCCAUCCAUCUUCCUUUGGAUUUUCUUCUAGAAGUCAAUUCUUCUUGGACAAGGAUCUCUCCUUAUGGGUUCAUUCUUAGAGAAAGAGACAGCCAAUGCAAGAUUUGAGUUGCUGGUUCCAUAGUUGAAGAAUCAUCGCUCAUAGAUGUGAAUUGAGAAGGCAUACAAAAAUUAAACCCAACUAAUGGGUUAAUCUAAAACACACUGUUUUAAACAUAGAAAUUAACAAAUACAUACUGAAUAAGAGAUGUAUGACACUAAAAAUUGCAAAAAUAGAUAAAUCCAAUUGUAAAAUCAAAUUUAUAAAAUAUACAACCAUAUGAAGUCAAAAUUUUGAUUUAUGUUUAAAAUUAGCAAUAAGCACUUGAAAAUUCGCAAGAUAAAGAAACAACUCCAUAUGUAGAAAGUAGCAGAGGAUAGAACAUUCUGCUUUUAAAAUAGAACAAUCAAUCAACACUAACGCUGAUCCAGUAUCAAUCACUUUACAAUACAAUUGUUUAGCAAAAAUGUAUUUUAACAAAUAAACUUCAUUUUGAACGGAUAAUGAAAAUCUGCAAUUUUCAAAAGCUCCAAUUUAUGCAAUCUCAUGAACAAUCUAGUAAAACUCCAAAUUAGUCGAUGACAAGUGGGACCGACACAGUUUGAAAAGAAAAAAAAAAAAGAAAACCGUGUUAUUUGAAAAAGAAGAAAGUUGGCAAUUCUUUUGACAAAAUGGAGAGCCGUGAAUGAGUUAUGCACGGCUCUCUCGUAACCUGAGGCAGAUGCACCUCAACAACAACACACAGCAGAAAAAAAAAAAAUUGUAAAGAGAGUGUGUCUAGUUUUAAAAAUGGUUUCUAAAUAUAGGGGAGAGAAAAAUAGUGAGUAAAUUAUUUUGGGGUGUUUUUGGGAAACACUUUGUGUGCCACUAUUUUGUCUUACUCUCUUUGUGUACCUACUAUUUUUAAUAGUGGAAGAAUUAUUCGGAGUUUGUCCCGUGGACGUAGCCCUAAACAGUUGAGGGUGAACCACGUAAAUUUCUGUGUGUCACAAGUCUAUUUUUCCGCUGCGUUAAUUUUCUCUUAAUUGGUUGAAAGGACUCAACAAGUGGUAUCAGAGCUGAUGACCAAAAACUGGUAUUAGAACUGAUGCCUAACAAGGGAUAUCAGAGCUGAUGCCCAAUAACUGGUAUCAGAGCUGAAGGUUUCGGCAGAUCAGCCGGUCAGAUAGCGGUACUAAAUCCAUGGAUAUAUUUUGAAAUAAAUAUACCAUGACGAAGAGAAAAUUACGACGAGUCUAUUGGUGCUGUCCGCUUGGAAAGACAUUGCAGAAUCGACUUAGUGAUGAAUAGUAAAAUAGUAACUCAAAGUUGAUGGUGAAGAGUACUAUUGGCGUUACUGUUGCUGAAUCCGUUUCAAAUAAGCCCAGCACUAUUCACGAAUAGAACUAUUCACAUGUACAAUUACUAUUCAUGCAUACAGUUACUAUUCAAAUAUACUAUUACUAUUCAUGAUCACUAUUCACGUAUAUUACUAUUCACAUAUACGGUUUAUGUUGGUAUUGAUUUUCUGCGUAAGUCAAAAUGGACAAGCAAAAUGAUCAGUCUAAAUGGCGAGAAUUACCAUAUAUAGAGAAAUGAGAGAUCUCCUUAUGGUAAUCAAAAUGCAUUUNNNNNNNNNNNNNNNNNNNNNNNNNNNNNNNNNNNNNNNNNNNNNNNNNNNNNNNNNNNNNNNNNNNNNNNNNNNNNNNNNNNNNNNNNNNNNNNNNNNNNNNNNNNNNNNNNNNNNNNNNNNNNNNNNNNNNNNNNNNNNNNNNNNNNNNNNNNNNNNNNNNNNNNNNNNNNNNNNNNNNNNNNNNNNNNNNNNNNNNNNNNNNNNNNNNNNNNNNNNNNNNNNNNNNNNNNNNNNNNNNNNNNNNNNNNNNNNNNNNNNNNNNNNNNNNNNNNNNNNNNNNNNNNNNNNNNNNNNNNNNNNNNNNNNNNNNNNNNNNNNNNNNNNNNNNNNNNNNNNNNNNNNNNNNNNNNNNNNNNNNNNNNNNNNNNNNNNNNNNNNNNNNNNNNNNNNNNNNNNNNNNNNNNNNNNNNNNNNNNNNNNNNNNNNNNNNNNNNNNNNNNNNNNNNNNNNNNNNNNNNNNNNNNNNNNNUGGUGGAAAUCGAUAUUUUGUGACAUUUAUCGAUGACCAUUCUAGGAAGACCUGGGUAUACACAUUGAAGUCUUCUAAACCUGGUUGAGAGAUAGACAGGCAAGAAGCUGAAGUGUAUCAGGACAGAUAAUGGUGGAGAAUACACUGGGCCAUUUGAUGCUUUCUGCAAAGAGCAUGGCAUUCGACAUCAAACGACACCUUCCAAGACGCCGCAACUGAACAGUUUGGCUGAGGAUGAACAUAACUUUGAUGGAGAGAGUCAUAUGUUUACUCUCAUAUGCAAAGUUGUCUAAAAGAUUUGGGCUGAAGCUUUACUCACAGCAGUUUGCCGUUCACUUUGUUUCCCUGAGAGUCAUAUGUUUACUCUCAUAUGCAAAGUUGUCUAAAAGAUUUGGGCUGAAGCUUUACUCACAGCAGUUUGCCGUUCACUUUGUUUCCCUCUACAGUAUGAUAGUCCAGAGAGAGUAUGGUUAGGAAAGGAUGUUUCCUAUGAUCAUUUGCGAAUGUUUGGUUGCAAAGCCUUCGUACAUGUCCCGAAGGAUGAACGAUCGAAGCUUGAUGUCAAGACUAGACAAUGUGUAUUCAUUGGCUAUGGCCAAGACCAAUGUGGCUAUAGGUUUUAUGACCCAAUCCAGAAGACGAUUNNNNNNNNNNNNNNNNNNNNNNNNNNNNNNNNNNNNNNNNNNNNNNNNNNNNNNNNNNNNNNNNNNNNNNNNNNNNNNNNNNNNNNNNNNNNNNNNNNNNNNNNNNNNNNNNNNNNNNNNNNNNNNNNNNNNNNNNNNNNNNNNNNNNNNNNNNNNNNNNNNNNNNNNNNNNNNAAGUGCCAAUAGAUUUGAUGAAGACUCAACAAACAUACAGAGAGUCCCUCCAAUAGAACGCAGACAAAUUGGAGAUGAAGAAAAUGUUCCAUNNNNNNNNNNNNNNNNNNNNNNNNNNNNNNNNNNNNNNNNNNNNNNNNNNNNNNNNNNNNNNNNNNNNNNNNNNNNNNNNNNNNNNNNNNNNNNNNNNNNNNNNNNNNNNNNNNNNNNNNNNNNNNNNNNNNNNNNNNNNNNNNNNNNNNNNNNNNNNNNNNNNNNNNNNNNNNNNNNNNNNNNNNNNNNNNNNNNNNNNNNNNNNNNNNNNNNNNNNNNNNNNNNNNNNNNNNNNNNNNNNNNNGAAAUGAAGUCCUUGCAUGAGGAUGAAACAUUUGAGCUGGUAAAGUUGCCCAAAGGCAAGAAAGCUUUGAAGAACAAGUGGGUGUUCAGGAUCAAGCAGGAAGAACACAGCUCCCAACCACGAUUCAAAGCUAGACUGGUUGUGAAAGGAUUCAAUCAAAAAAAGGGUAUUGAUUUUGAUCUUUUCACUAGUUGUGAAAAUGAAAUACAUUCGGACAGUGCUCGGAAUGGCCGCCAGUUUUGAACUGGAAAUCAAGCAAAUGGAUGGAAAGAGUACCUUCGUACAUGGAGAUUUGGAAGAAGAAAUAUACAUGGAGCAGUCAGAGGGUUUCAUAGAAACAGAGGAUUGUGUUUGCAAACUGAAGAAAAGUCUGUAUGGCUUGAAGUAGGCACUGAGACAGUGGUACAAGAAGUUUAAGUCUGUUAUGGGGGAGCAUGGCUACAAAAAGACUACUUCAGAUCAUUGUGUUUCUAUUCUCUGAUGAUGACUAUAUUGUUUUUGCUCUAUGUGGUUAAUAUGUUGAUUGUUGGUCAGAAUUCUAUCAGAAUUAAUAGCUUGAAGAAACAGCUAAGUAAGUCUUUUGCUAUGAAAAACUUGGGACCAGCAAAGCAAAUUCUUGGCAUGAAGAUUACAAGGAAUCGAAGAACCAAGAAAUUAUGGUUGUCACAGGAGAAGUACGCUGAGAAAGUACUUCAAAUGUUUAGAAUGGAAAAUGCUAAAGCGGUUAGUUGUCCUCUUACUAAUCACGUUAAAUUGAGUUCUAAAUAGUACCCUUCUACGGAUGGAGAGAAGGAAGAAAUGAAAAAAAAUUCCAUACGCUUCAGCAGUUGGAAGCUUGAUGUAUGUCAUGGUUUGUACACGGCCAGAUAUUGCUCACUCAGUUGGAGGAGUGAGUCGGUUUCUUUCAAAUCCUAGAAAGGAACAUUGGACUGCAAUGAAAUGGACUUUCAGGAUAUCCAAUCACAUUUGCAGGGGGAGCCGUGUCGUGGCAGUCAAGAUUACUGAAGCGUAUAAGGAGUUGCUGUGGAUGAAGAAAUUCUUGAAUGAACUCAGAAUUCAUCAAGAAUGAUAUCAAAUAUUUUGUGACAGUCAAAGCACAAUUCACCUUGGAAAGAAUUCCUCCUUCCAUUCUAUCACUAGAUCAAGGAUGUGUUGGAGAUGAAGCUGUUACAGCUUGAGAAGAUCCAUACAGAAGAAAAUAGAUUAGUCAUGUUGAUGAAGUUUCUUUCAAAGGAGAAGUUUGAAUACUGUCGGUUAGCUUCAGGGAUGAUGAUGGCUAACAUCUCCACUUGAGUGUGCAGGGGGAGAUUUGUUGUGUCGGUGCCCACUCAAGUGGGACCCACGCAAUUUGAAAAGAAAAAAAAGAGAGAAAAACGUGUUAUUUGAAAAAAAAAGAAAAGUUGGCAAUUCUUUUGACAAAAUGGAGAGCCGUGAAUGAAUUAUGCACGGCUCUCUCGUAACCUGCCUAUAAAUAGAGGCAGAUGCACCUCAACAACAACACACAGCAGAAAAAAAAAUUGUAGAGAGAGUGUGUCUAGUUUUAGGAAGGGUUUCCUAAAACUAGGGGAGAGAAAAAUAAUGAGGAAAUUAUUUUGGGGUGUUUUUGGGAAACACUUUGUGUGUCCCUAUUUUGUAUUACUCUCUUUGUGUACCUACUAUUUUUAAUAGUGGAAGAAUUAUUCGGAGUUUGUCCCGUGGACGUAGCCCUAAACAGUUGAGGGUGAGCCAUGUAAAUUUCUGUGUGUCACAAGUCUAUUUUUCCGCUGCGUUAAUUUUCUCUUAAUUGGUUGAAAGGACCCAAUAAGUGGUAUCAGAGCUGAUGCCCAAAAACUGUUAUCAGAGCUAAUGCCUAACAAGUGGUAUCAGAGCUGAUACCCAACAGAGAUAAGCUCGAAGAAGAAAGGAAUGUUUUAAAACCUACAUGAUUGAAUGUCUUUGCAAAAAAAUGUUUGGUUGCACCGGAAUCCUUGGUCGCGUCUAUAACGGUUAAGAGGAGAACAUUGUUUUUUGAUGAUUUAAACUUUUACUGAUGCUAGAAAGCAACGAGAAAGGAAACCGAUUUUUAUCUCACCAUUUUUUGGCUCAAAAUUUUCUUCUUUUCGUUUCACACAGGAAAUUCAUUCAAAUGGUGAAAUUGAUCAAGGGUUACGAUUUGGGAGAAUGAGAAGACGAUUAUUGUCGGACAAUAAUCGAAAAUGCGAUCAGCUACACUGGAGAUAGAGUUGCACAAUGGAGUUGAGAGAAGUUUGAAACAAUGUGUUUUGGGUUAGCCUAUUCGAUAUGUUAAUUUGACCAUGAGAGAGAUUGGUGGGUCUACAAAAGUAAUUUUUACUCGUUAAGUCGAGUAGAAUUUAAAUUUUGGGUGCUAUUGUAAUUAAUAUUCCAGUUCAAUGUACCUGAAGAAGAAAGUUAAAUUUAGAAAAGAAUUAAAACAACCUGCAAAGUUUGGGGUUAGAAAGUUAAACUUAAAAAAUAAAUAAAUAAAACAACGAGUAAAAUUGGAGUUUUUUUCAAUGAUUGGGCCUUAUAUUGAAACCUAAAUACCCAUUUUCAAAGAUCUCAAAACCAGUAUCUUUGGGAACACAAACCACAUCCUUAACAAUGUAUAGCCAUAGUCGACACAAAAUCACCUUGAAAAACCAAUUCACACAUGAUGGUGUCCAUAAUAUAAAUGCAUCCUUGUUUUCAUCAAGAAACUACUCAACCUAAUAAGCUUGUAGUUGUAGAUCAGGAGUUGACAAUAUUAUAUUUAUAAUAAUAUAAUCCUAAUUCUUUUGUAGAAAUUCUGUCGGAUUAUAUUACUAUUUAAUUUACUCUUUGAAAUUCAAUUAAUUAGUUUAAUUAACAAUUUGGUCACUUUUUUUAAGAAAUAAAUUAAAUAGUCAUUCACAUGCAUGUGCUUGUGUUUAGAAGAUAGAGUCUCCCUUUCAAAACACAUAAAUUGAUGUGCUUGUCAAAAUUUGCUUUAAUACGUAUACUAAAAUGCUAUUGAUAAUAAGAAAAAAAAUAUAUAAAUUAAUUAAUUUUUAAUUUGUCUAUUUAGAUUCAAAAUUAAUUUUAUCACAUAGUUAAGAAAAAAUUUAUUUUUGGAUAAAAUUGAACUCAUUUUUUAUUUAUCAUUGGAAAAAAUUACAUAUUUUCAUAAUAUAAUUUUUUAUUUUAAAAAGAUAACUUGUAUUUUUCAAACUAAUUAAAAUGAAAAGUUAAAUAAAUUUUGUUAUUUAUACAUAAAAAAUGUUUUUAAUUAUUCUAAAAUUUUCAAAAUAAUUUUCAACUUUAAAGUGAAAAUUAAAUAUGAAAAUCUAAAAGAGUUAAUGGCCAAGUUAAAAUUUUAUCAGAAAAAAAAACAAGAGAGAUGGUGAAAUAUAUAUUUGAGAUAUUUAUCUUUUGUCAUUAUUUAAUGAAAUAUUCUGACUAUUUUUUAUGAAUGAACUAUUUAUUUUAUAUAUAAAAUACGAAGAUCAUUUAAUUUAUUGCAAAGAAAAUAGGAAUGCACUUGUUAAUUGGGCUAGAUCUCAUGUAGUAUAGUAAUUUAUCCUUUUUUUUUUUUUUUAACAUGUGUUUGUAUACUUGGGACUUAAUUUUUCAGGUAAGGGUGUGCGAACAUGCAGUUUGAUUUUCUAAUUGAACUCAACUACAAAAACAGAAAAUCAAAUUUGAGUUUUUGUUCAAACCGAGUUGCAUAAAUCGAAUUGAACCUAGUUAAACAGUUCGAUUUUGCUUAAAAAAUAAUUUUUUUUUACUAUAAUUGAUAUCAAGAUCUAAACCGAAAUUAUAUAAGGUUAGAAAUCAAAGUCGAAACUGAAAACCAAAUAACCGAAUUAAUUCAAUUCGGCUUAAUUUGUCCGUUUUUUACUAAAAUAUCUUCACCCCCUAUUUUUAGAUAUGUUUACUUCAGAAAGUAAUUCACUUUUGUUGAUCUAACCCGCACUACCUUUGGUAGCAAUUUACCAUUUUAAUCAUUAACUAAAGGGUUAGCAAGGAUGAUGGUCCAAAUUUCCUGAAAAAAAGAAAAAAAGAAAAGAAAAAAAAGAUGGUGGUCAACUUCCAUCUUUAAAUAUUUUGGUAUAUGAAAUUCUAAUUCCACGUCCAGAAAUUAUUCAAUCUUGAUUACAGGUGUGAAUGAGAACUUAAAAAUAGUUUAUAUUUUAAAAAGUUUGCAAUCUUAUAGGCGAAUGGAUAAAAUUUUUGCUGGAAGCCAUUUUCUUAUGGGUCUGAAGAUGAAUUAGGGACACUUGUGAUAUAUAUAUAUAUAUAUAAUUAUAAUUGAUUACAUUUUAUGGAGUUGAAUUUGUUAUGGUUAUGAAUUUGCUUUUUAAUGUAUUAAGGCUUUUAUGGACCAAAAUAACACUAUAUGGGUAACCCUCUCCUUGGCUCACUCAACUGGUGACAACAAUUGUGAUUGAGAGGAUUUAAAUUCGAGACUUCUCACUCCUCACAUAAGUGAAAAGAUCAAUCAGACCACCACCUGGUUGGUUGUUAUGGUUACAAAUUUGAAGUUCAUACCUUACAUUAAAUACAUUUCAUUACUAAAAUAAUAUAUAAAAAAUACAUUUGAUUAUGUUAUAUUACAUUCCAGUACUACUCACUACAAAAAAAAACCUUGAUCUCUCAAAAGGAAAAAAAAAAAAAAAAAGACUAUAAUUUACAUAUCCCUGUCUUCUAUUCUGACUAAACAUGUGAAAAACCCUAUGCAUAAUAAGAUUACAAAUCCUUUCUUCUCUUCCCAGUAGGAAUUCAUGAAAGAAAGGAAAAAAAAAAAAAAAAAACUCCAUAAAAAAUCUUUGAAAUUAUUAAUUUUUCAUGAGGUUUGCAAUCGAGAAGUGAGAUCAAUGAAUACAUGUUCUUGACAAGGAAUCGUGAGGCCACCCAUUGGAUGAUUGAAUCCAAACUCUUCUUCAGCACGAUUAAGCAAAUCAACAAACAAAGGAUGAUUUAUAUAUGAAAUUGGAACAAUGAAACGUUUCUUCUGAUAUUCUCCAACAUAUAUUGCAAUGUGGCCUUUUGGGACAUUGGCCGAUUGAUUUCUUGUCAGAAAAUUAGUGUGUGAUCUUUUAAGAAUUUGCUUAGCACUGAAUAUUAAUUUAGAAGGCAUUUUGAAUAUGCACAUGCAAGAGCAAGACCUUGAAAAUUCAGAAACUUGGAGUCAGGUAUUUAUAGAAGCAGAUUAAUGGGAUCCCACAAGAAGGUGAUCACAUGGCUUUGCUGAAUUGGCUUAUGUUGAUACAUAUAUAGCUAGCUGUUUUGAACAGCUAUAGGGAUGGAGGAGGCCCACUUGAUUCUUGGAAAGUUAUGGUCUGAAAUAAAUAUACAUCUCAGCCUGUGUGUCCUUUCUAAUGCUUCAAAACAGGACUCCCUCAGUAACAAUGUAACAUCAUCAAUCAAACAUAUAUAAGCAUCUCACACACUCUUUCUCCCAUAUGCACACCAAUCUUAUUGUGACUAGGAUGAGAUUUAUGAAAUGGGACCUAUGUUCUAUUUUCAGUUUUUUUUCUUAAAAAAUAAUUUUAAAGCCACUUCAGUAUUUCAUAUAGGAGGUUUGGCUUGAAAUUUAUAAGAAAUAGCACAAUGUGAUUUUUUCUGUUUGUUUAGCAUAAGUGUUUUGAAGAUGUUUAGGUAAAGUUUUCCUGUACAACCUCUAACUUUAUAGAUAAAUAAAGUUUUCUCAGAGAUGUAAUUUAUUUUCGCUGAUUGAACCGCAAAUUGAUUCAACUCAUCUACUUGAGUCUUCUCAUGAUGGUGGCAACAGGACAAGGUCUAGCCAUGCAGGUAAAUUUAGGAAUUAUAUCACUGCAUACCAAGACUAACUUGGGAAAAUUAUAUAUAUAGGAAAAUUAUAUUGUUGGAUAUGUAUGGACUUUUUAAUUUGUUGAUUUUGUCAGAAUUUUUUUAAUUGUUAAGUGUUUAAAUAGAUAAACUUUUUAAUAACGAAGGACAUCAGGCUGGGAUACUACAAUGAUUGUGAUUAGCUAACAAAUUAUUGAUACAACUGGAAUAAUUUUUCAGUUUUAUUAUUUAAUGUUUGAAUUAUAAAAUAAUGUGAUUCAAGGCUUGAAUUGUAUCUGUUUUCCCAUCUGAACACAUCAGAAAGUCAUGGCAUUUGGUAGUGCAUAUCAGGUUUAUAACUUGCUAUCUAAUUAAUAAUUGUCUAAAUGUGUUUUUUUUUUUUUUUUUUUUUUUUUUUUUUUUUUUUUUUACCAAAAAAAAAAAAAAAAAAAAUUUUUUUUCUUAUUGUCUAAAUGUGUUUUUUUUUUUUUUUUUUUUUUUUUUUUUUUUUUUUUUUUGUUUAACCAAUAAAAAAAUAAAAAAAAAUUUUUGUUGCUUUUUGGCGUAGGUAUUAAACCUGAUCUGACCCGUCAGGUCAACUCGGAAAACUGGUAAAUCAACCUCACAAUCUGACCGGUUUUACUUUUAACAAUUUAAGAAAGACAACCCAAUUGAACCGAUUGACCUAUAGUUGAGCAGUCUAGCUGCCCAUAAUAGCAGUUGUCGAGCCAAAAUUAAUAAGAUUGCCUUUUGCCAUAACAGCAGUUGGGUUGGUGCUUUUUGGCAUGAAAAACUUGUGGCUUCCAUCGUCAGGGAAGGAGACAUUUGGAAUAAUUGGAGGGUUAAAGAAGAAUACAUGUAUACAAGAAAAUCAGCUUUCAAAUAUUCCUACCAAAAACCCAAUUGAGUCUUCUAGUAGAAUGCAGGUAGGUCGCAAAGUGAAAAUGAGAGGUGAUUCAAAGGAAGAAAAUUCAAGCAUUGAGAUAUGGAUUUAGGCAUUUGGGGAAGGAUAUAAAUACUUAAAUAAUACCCAAUCCAAAAUCUAAAUGACAAAAUUAAUAUCUCCUUCUAAGGUCAAAUUGCAUCAUAAUAAUUUGAAAAGGCACGUGCACCUAAUUCCAAAUAAAACCUUCCAAAAAAAAAAAAAAAAAAAGGAAAAAGGAACAUGUGAAGUUGCAUUACAAACAAGUACUUUAUAUAUGCCUCCAUUUAGGAUAGAAUGAUAUGGUAAGCACAUGACUAAUAGUUAUAUUGGUAUGGGCAAAUACAUUGAACAACAGCCUCUCUCUCUCUCUCUCUAUAUAUAUAUAUAUAUAUUCUUGGAUCUGGAAGUAACUAACUCAUCACAAUAACCAUAAACAUCAGUUAGAAGAGAUUUUUAUAGGUGGUGGUAGUAUCUAUUGUGGGACCCUUUGGAUCCUCUAGUUAGUAUAUGAUGGUAUUAUUCCUACUUCAUAAACUUGUUGGCUCCAUUUUGUUUCAUAUGCAUAUGCAAAUCAUGUAGCUAGAAGUUGUAGUAAUUUGAAUCCUAAUGGAAUAAACUAUUUAACAAUUGAGAUAACCUUUAUACUUAACUAUUUAUUAAAAAAAUAUGAUAUUUGAGGGACUAAAGACUUAAAAAUAUAUCCUUUGUCUCAUAUUGAGUUUUCUAUUUCAUUUUGGAAUGAAGAUCAAAAGAAAGUUAUUUGAAACAACUUUUGUUUUGUGGGAAAGGAAAAAUAUAAAUUGAUCCUUUAGUUAUAGUCAACUUAACAUAUGAUGACUUUUAUUUUCAAAAUCUAAUUAUAAGGCCUCUAAUUUAUAAUUUCAUUCAUAAUUUGGAUAUUUCGUGCAAAAUAGCAUCUUUUUAACUAUUAUCUAUAUGAUGACUUCUAUGUAGUAGCAAGUCUUGUGCAAGAACUAAUUAACUACUUGCUCCAACAUUUUCCUGUAGAUAAUAGUUAGAAUAAAUAGUUAAGGGUCCACAAAGAAACAAUAACCAUAUAUUACCAACCCUACAUGUUUCAUUAACCCAAAUAAAAACCCUAAACAGAAACUAUAUAUUAUAAGAACAAAGCUUGUGGUAUGCUAAGCUUGGUUACUACAUGUACAAGCAAAUCCUUGUGAUGCUGUUCUUCAAUGCAGGCAAUACACAGUACAUUGGAUGAGUCUUUGUCUCAAUAUGAACACAUUAAUGUCUUCUGACUUCAGCCUGAAUCGAAUGGAGUCAAUCUUUUAUGAUUUUCAAAAAGUAGGUGCUAAGCUUGUUUUAUUGCAGUUAAUGAAGGCUUCUUGGAGUUGAUAAGUAAAUAUGCUUACUUCCUUCAUUAGUCAAGGAUUUAAAUUAUGAUGUAUUUUAUUUAUUUUUUUAUAAAUUUUCUAAUUUAAUAUAAAUCCUUUAGCUUUAAUUGGGUAGAGGAAUGGGUUGAGUAUAAGUUGUGAAGAUUAACCUGUAAUACAAUCUUACCCAGGGGCAGACCUAUUCGUAGCUGCCAUAAAAAAAAGGAUUUAUGUGUACAGAAAUUAUUGUAGAAUAAUUUAAUAAUGGUUUGAGAAGUACAUGAAUCAAAAUAAAAAGUCAAUUCUAGAUAUUAGUCAUGUUUAGCAGUAAUUUUUGACAUAACUUUUAGUGUUUUGACUUUUUUUAUUAUUUAUAGUGUUCGGUCAUAGCAUUAAUACUAGUAUAUAGUGUUUGAUAGAGUGAAUUAUAGAAAGUUACUCAUUUUAAUAUUUGAUGAAAUAUUAAUAAAAUAACUGACAGUUACUAAAACAAUUAACAACUUUUAAAAUAAUUAAUUUUGCCUCCUAUUAUCCUAAAAAUAAAAAAAUUAAAUGCUAAAAUCCAUUGUUUGUUGCAAAUGAUUCCUUAGCCUAAUAUCAAGGAGUGAUGCCCUAGGAUCAAAAGGUGUUAGGUCCUAUUCCCCCUCCCAAUUUUCAAUAAUAAAGUAUUUUGUACCCAUUAUGGUUUGCCCUCAAUGGGCUUGGACCGACCAUUAACUUGUAGUGAGUCGAUGUAUUGAGUUUAAGUCUACUAUAAUUAUAGCAGUGUAAUAUAUAUAGCUCCGUCCAUAGUAUCUCUAGCAAAAAAAAAAAAAAAAAGGUUUCAUUGUUUGUUUCAGUAAAAUGUCCAUUAUAUUUGCUUUCUUUUUUUUUUUUCAAUUUUUAAAAAUUAUUUUUUUAUUAAAUUUCUUUUUUGAAAAUGUACAGGAUAGAAUUGGUGUGCUAGUUUGGGCUUGAAAUUAGAAACUCUAAUUGAAAUUGCAUAUCCUUUUAUUAUGGGUUAACAAUUCUUGUCGUAAGAUAUCCAAUGGACUUUACGGCUUUGGAAUGUGGUUUAGGAUUGUGUUUAUUAUGUAAGAUAUUUUUGUUAAUCAAAGAGAUGAUAUUCAUACCUAGGACUUAAGGUUCAAUUGGCAAUGUACCAGGUCACUUAGAAAGAAUUCUUAGAUUUUAUCGCCACUAAACACACUUGCAGAAAGAGGCGAAGAGCGGAGUUUGAUAUAAAACUGAUUGUUUAUACCGAACAAAAAAAGAGAUAAUAUUCAUAUCUUAGAGCUAGUCCAUAUCAGCUAAUAAGAUCCAGUUUUAACAUCAAAAUCAUCGUCUUCAAGUUAAUGCUUCUUAGUUUGAUGAACAUCCUACUUAAUGGAGUAUCCAUCCAAAAAAACAAAUUUUGCAUAUUGCUUGUACUUGUAGUACUAUCUUUUAUUUGGUUUAUUAGAAAUGCCUUUUCUUCCUUUGUAGCUCCUUUUAUAGGACAAGCAUUGAGCAAAUAGAAUUGCCGAAGCUUAUAAAAAGCUGUAGUGUCGAAUAUAAUUAAUUAUACUAAUUAAACCAAUAAUUAUCUUUCUACCAAAAAUGAAAGAUAAUACAAAACUGAGAUCAGACACUGAAAUUUGUUUCAGUACAUAUACAAAACUCUUCCUCUUUAUGACGAUGCAAGUAAAUUAGAAGUUAGAUCAAGGAAGGCAUCUUCUUUGCAAGGAAUUGUAAGCCCACCCAUUGGAUGAUCAAAGCCAAACUCUUCCUCAGCUCGUUUAAGUAAAUCUUGAAAAGAAGGGUGACGUAAGUAAGAUAUUGGUACUACAAAUCGCUUCUUCUGCUGCUCUCCAACGUAAACAGCAAGGUGUCCUCUUGGCACCUCCGAUUGAUCAUUUCUUGAAAGAACAUAUUUCCCUUGAAGUAUUUGCUUUACACUAGGAAACAUUGAUCGCAAGCGAAUACCCAUUAUUUAGAUGGUCAAAAAGAUGAAAACUUUAAUCCAAGUCUUUCGAAUAGUGAGAGGAAGUUGGGUUUUUUGGAUUUGGCUAUUGUGUUGGUUUGUAUUUAUAGGGUUUUAGAGGUUUGUGGAGUGGAGUGCCAUACUUACCAGUUGGGAAAGCGGUGGGGGGUAUUGUCGUCAGCAGAUUGGCUGUUAGCUUGUUAGGAUUUGUGCACAUGGGCUAUGUUUUAAGUCUAGAAUUAAUGUUAUCUCCAAAACAGAUGGCCGUACACAGGUAGCUGGAUCAAGUGACGGCCAACAAUUACUGCAUGUGGAGAUACUAGUAUAUCAUAAGAGAUCAAAUAGAGUGUAAACGAGUUGAACAGGUUUGCAAGUUGCUGAAUCUCAACUUUAAAAAAGUUUAAAAAAAUUAGAUUUGAAUGAGCUUGAAAUAUCAUUUAGCUUUAUCAAUCUAUUUUAGGCUUUAUGAACCUUGAGCCAAACUAGAUUUUACAAGUUAAACUUAAACCUCAAGUCAAGUUCAAAUUCAACUAAAUUCUAUCAAGUCCAGCUUCAUGCAAAUAGGUUUGAGCUUGGCUGAUUUACAUUCCUUGAGGCGAUCAAUUACUCAGCAUGUGGAGAUUGCUAAUUACUACAAUACCACAACUACAAGUGAAACCGUCAAUCUAGCUGGGGUUUGGACAUAGGUGUUAUGAUAUUGGGUUUCAUAAAUUAUAAUAUCUUAAAUCAAUGUUUUGUUGCAGCAAAUGUUAUGUUACAUAUAUUUUGUUAGUACCAUUUUUCUGGGGCAAUAAUUCAAGCACAUGCAUUACUGUUUAGAUUAUUACUAACCCUCAAAAUGCCUACAUGUAUAUACAUAUAUAGUUGCUAUUUACUCUGAGUUCCAAUUAUAAUAAUUACGGUUCUCAUGCAUGUACCUGCAAUAUUGACUCCUAGGUGAUAAUAAUGGGAUAAGCAGAUGCACGUGCGUUUUGAUAUGCUGAUGUCAAGAUUGAGAGAUAGACAUAGACUUGUAAAAUUCCUUAUCAAGAUUCAAGAAUCAAGAUAUAUGUAUAUAUAUAUAUUAUCAAGUUCAGAGUUUUAGAAAUUCUGCAGCUAGAUGUGCGAUGGUUUUCCGGAUCUAGCAGCCAAUAAAAUCAGCAAGUUGGCGCCAAGAAAAUGCUAAAAAGCCCAUAGAGUCUAGAAGAAUUUUAUUAUAUUUGUGACCAGUUAGUUUAUAUUCUAUUUUUAGCAGUGUUUUGAUAAUUUCCUAUUGUGGGACCUUACACACCCAAGUUGGGUCGUGAAGGACAAAGUACAAGUUGCUUGCUGCCGUGCAACGAUCAAUGUCCUAAGUUAUCUUAUCAUUUUUCUUUAGGAGAAAAAAGAAGAAAAAAUAUCCACUAACUGCGUAGAUAUACCUCUGUGCUUGUAUAUUUUGUGUAUAUAUAUAUAUAUAUAUAUAUAUAUAUAUAUAUAUAUAUAUAUAUAUAUAUAUAUAUAUAUAUAUAUAUAUAUAUAUAUAUAUAUAUAUAUAUAUAUAUAUAUAUAUAUAUAUAUAUAUAUAUAUAUAUAUGUAUUUUUAGCCCCCCCCCCCCCCCAAAAAAAAAAAAAAAAAAAAAAAUCAUAUUUAGCUUUCUUGAAUUCACAGUCAUCAAAUUAAAACUUUUUGUUUCCAUGCACACAGGAUAUAUAUGUCUUAUGAUCUUAUCCUUGAUAUAGUACGUAGUCAAUGUUAAAGGUUAAUUGAAAACAAGAAUAGCGGUGUCAUUGGAAUAUGGGUAGUAUUAAGGAGUUAUCAACACAAAGUCUAAAACAUCAAUAUUUGCAACAACCAUCCGGUUCCCAAUUCCCAAAGGCAUUUUGUGAUUUAUGUUGGACAGAAAUAGAAGAAGCAAUUUGAAGUUCCAACUUCCUUUUGAAGCAUCCAUUUCAGAAAUUGUCAUGUCAACCUGAAGAAGAUUUGGGUUUCAAUGAUCUAAUUUUUGGUCUCACAAUUCCAUGUCCUAAGCAUGAUUUUGUCAUUGUCAUUUCUCAUCCAAACACUUCUUAUAGUUGACUUACUCUUUAAUUUGUGUUUUUUUUUUUUAUGCUUUCUUAAUUUGAUUUACUUUUUUUUUUGUUCAUAAAUGUUCAUUUUAUAGAUUUUGAUGAUGAUAAUAAUAAUAAUAGCAACUUUAUUUUUGGCCUGAUAAAAAGUAAAUUAUAAUAAUACCAAAUUUAUCAUAUGGUACUUUCAAAAGUAAGCUUUAUGAAUUUCUUUUAUUCACGUUUCCAUUUGACAUCUAUUUUAAUGAUAAAUCACAUUUCGUUUGCAAUGAAAUUUAUGUAUUUAUUUAUUUAUUCGAUAGGAGGUUUAAUGAGCUAAAAAAAUAUAUUGGACUAUACAAAAAGUGGUAAUCAUUUCCCUCACUUACCAAAUUGGUAAAAAUUAUUGUAAAGGAGAGGUCUCAAAGUUGAGAUUUUAUUUCUUAUAUAAGUGAAAAGAAUAAUUAUACCACUUAGUUAUGAAAUUUAUUUUAAAAUAAUAAUCUAUUCAAGUAUUAAAAUUUGUGUUUUAAAAAAUUGUUUAAUAAAAAAAAUUAUGUCAUAUUUGAGAUGUUAGGAUAUUUUUACAGAUUAUUUUUUCUCUACCAAAUAUGAUUAUGGAGUUUCAAUUUAACCCUAAUUUUAAUUAAUUAAACAAAGAUUUAAAUAUUUUAAUUAAUAGAUAAAGAAAGAAUUUGAAAUUCACUCGAGAUGCGACUGCUGUUACUGUUAUGAACAACAAGAGUUUAGGAUAUAUGUAUAUUCUUUUUCUUGAAGAUGGGUCUCGUACGUCAAAAAGAAGCUUAAAAUUGAAGAAAAUGAUAUUUUUUUUUGACUUUAUUGACACUAAAAUCAUGGACCCAUAAUUUUUAAUUAGACAAGUAGACUAUUACUCUUCAAACGAACCGACUUUAUAUUUCACCAGGAAGGCAGGAACCGAUCUAAACAAUUAAAAACCGAUCAAAUUGGUCAAAACCACUAAUUUUGGUUUCAAAUUCCGUUUUCUAGAAACAACAAAAUAUUAUGGCCAGUAUUUAAUUGAAAAGCAGCGUCGACCAUAAUCAAAAUCUAGAUCCGACCGGCCUAGUCAAUCUGAUUCGGCUUUUACUAGCCACAAGACUAGAGAUAAAAAUAGCGCGAAUACCCGAAAAUUUUGAACUAUCAGUAUCCGCAUCUUUUUAAAAUUUUAUCCGUCUCAAACCCAAUGGAUAGACAUCCAUAAAUUAUAAAUUAUCACAAUCCAAAUUCGUUUAAUAAAUAUAUAUUUUUAUUAAAAAAUGGAUAGGGUAUAUAUAGAUACCCAUAUUCAAAUCGUUUAUUAUAACGGGUAUACAGAGUCUUAUACCCAUACCUUAAUAUAUCCAUUGCAAGUAAUAAUUUCAUUAUUUAUAUUUAUCUCAAACUCACGUAUAACUAUUUUAUUUUAGUUGAACGGAUUGGAGCGGAAUGGUAAUCUAAAUACCUGUCCCAUUUCCAUUUCUACACAAGAAUAGAAUCGUUGGCCCGCCACUGACUAUAGAUUCAGCCCAAAUUUAAAUUUCAAAACAUGUGCUACCUACCUAUUGGACUGUGCUUCUGGCAAGCGGUAUCUAUAUCAUGUGUUAAGAAGCAUAUAUAUUCUUUAAUUCAAAAAUACUUGGCACAUGUACUUACCUUCAUCAACAUCACCCAUAUACUAAAUAAAUAGUUAAUAUUAUUUGAAAAUAAAAUUUCAUAAUUUAUUUAUUAUUUUAUAUUUUUCCCUGCCUUAUCGUACCAAAUACUUUUGUUGAAUUAACUUGAUAUAUGGGUGACAUAUACGCUAAAUGUAGUAGAACGCAUGAGAAAUUUAAACACUAACAGUGUACAACUUUUAAAUUUUCUAAUGUAUAAAAACUACUUACUGUCCAGAAUUACAAAUUUCAAUGUCGUAGUUGAUCAAUUAGAUAUAACAACCUUAAAUAUCAAAAUAUGUAAAACAAUGUUUACAAAAUAAAUGUUUUCUGCUCCAUUUUUGUGUCAAUAACCUGAUCAUAAGCCAGCCGACGUACUUCAGAUUAUGAAAUCAUACGCCAAAAUAUUUGCGUGUACGCGGACACACACACACAAGAAGGUAAAAGAUUAUAUAUAUGCUUGGUAAAAGUUUGAAUUUUUAUAGUAAUAAAAAACAAGUUCUUAUCAAAAAUUCUACAACAGAAACAAUUGAUAAUUUACAAAUCAUAUAUAACAUCUAAAUGAAACUGAACUAAUUAAUUUAUCCAAGAAGAAUAAGAUGAAGAAAAACAAAAAAUGAGACAGACUUAGUCGUCUCAAAUUGUUUGUUUAUGAACUUAAAACUGAAGUUAGAGUAAUGAAAUACUCUUCAGUGCAAGGUAACGUAAGACCGCCCAUUGGAUGAUCAAAUCCAAACUCUUCUUCUGCUUUAUGAAGCAAAUCCAAGAACAAAGGAUGGUUCAAAAACGAUAUUGGAAUUACAAAUCUCUUUCUAUACCCAUCUCCAACGUAAACAGCAAUGUGGCCUUUAGGAACACUAUUACUACUAGUAGCCAAAACGCUUGCGAUUUUCGCUGAAAGACUGCGUUGAAGCUUUUGUUUGGCAUGAGCUAUCCCCAUCAGUUGAAUACCCAUUUCAGGAAAAUGAUAAGUCUAGCUAAUUUUGUUUGGAAUGAUUUACUUUGGCUUGAAAUGUAUGUCUCUGUUACUUGGGUAUAUAUAGGAGCUUCUAAACCUAGCUGCUAUAAAGAAAUGGAUAUGUGAUAUGAAGGUGAGAAUGAGAUGGUGAAUAUUGAGAGGUUAUUGAAGAAUAUUAAGGAACACAUCAGGUGAAGGACUUGUUGAACUUUCACAUGGUAUGCUUUGUUUGUUACUAGACAUAACAUGCCCUACCACCUUUAAGACCAAAAGAGAGGUGCAAAUGUGUGUGUGUGUAUAUAUAUAAAUAUUUCUAUAUUUGUAGUUCUGUAGUAUAAAAAAGAAGCCAAACACGGCCCAAACCGUAUCCACCACAGGCUCCGUCCUGACAGCUAGCAGUGCGCUCUCUUUCUCUCUUGCUUUAUAAAUGGAUAUACAGUAGGAGUUUUUUUUUUUUUUUUUUUUUUUUUUAAAUGGAACAGGAUUGGCCUGUUCAUCUGGUUAAAACGCAAAUUAGCUGCUAUCUAUUACAAAGGACGAAGCUAGGUGUAGGGUAACAUGGGUAACUGUACCCCUUCUCUUUAAAAAAAAAAAAAAAAAAGAAAAAAGUUAAAAUUGUUGUACAAAUUCAAGGUGUGAGAACCUUGUUUUUGGUUAUUUUCAAAGCACUCAUGCCAUUUUUGACCCCCUUAACUUGUGUGCCAUACGAUUUGCUCCCUUCUAUUUAAAUUUUGGUUUUAUCCUGUUAAUACGGGUAGCUUUUAUAAAAGAUUUAUAAAAUACUUCAACUCUUGAAGUAGAUGCUACAUAAUUGGUUCUCCUCUUUCAAAUUAUAUAAAUAAGGAUCAUGCUAAAAUGAUCAUUUUAUAGAUACCGAAAAUAAACUAAAUCAAACAGUUCUAUUUCAAUUUGAUUUAAUGAAAUUUAGAGCUUAGUAUGAAUUUAAAGUCAAUGGGAAAAAUCUUUAAAUAUCUAAAUUAAAAUAGACAAAUGGUUCAAGCGUAGAAGUGAAGUCUAAAAAUUUUGGCUUUGAUAGCAAAACAUACAAUACAAGCAAAUUUUUAGAUUUUUUUCAAUAAUAUAAUUUUUUUUUUUCAAAAAGUUACUUGAACGUAUAUAUAUUUUUUUAAGUUCAAUUCAGUUGGUCAAGUCAUGAUUCAGUGAGUCACCGAUCCGAUUUAAUUUCAAAAAUAAUAAUAUAUAGGUAUACACAAACAUACAGUGGAAGGUACUGAUCUAAUCUAAUCAAUGAAAACCAAAUUGACUCGUUGACGCGUGCAAACAUGCUUUUGCAUAAAAAGAGUUGUCUCAAUCGAAAUUGUUUUGCCUGUUAUUCAUACGUACUGAAGCAUUGAACUUAGACUGCUAGUGUUAUCUGUGGGCUGCUAUGCAGCCAACAACUACCCUACUAUAGUCCCCAGUUGCUGGAUGAGUUCUGUGUCCCUACUCUUUUUUUUUUUUUGGUUUAAAUUAGCAUAUGUCACGUAUAUUAAUUGGUGGCUGCAGAUUAAACCGUGAACCACCUACUUUUACGUAUUCCAAACGGUUUUAUUUAGAAAACGUUUCUUGAAAUUUCUUUUUCCUUUCUGAAAUCAUAUGAAUCGUUGUGGUUCAAAAAUUUGGUCCCGUGAUUAAGAAAAUAAUUAAAUUAUAUAACUUCUUUAUUAAUCUGCCAGUGGAAAAGAGGAAGGCGGUAAUAUGAGUUUAAAGAAAUUAGAAAAAAUAAUUAAUGUAUUAAAUAAAAAUAAAGGUAAAUUUUUUUAAAAAAUAAUUAAUAGUAUUUUUUUUAAUCUUUUAAAAUGAGAGAUAAAAGCGCAUGAUAUCAUAAUUAAUUAAUAGUAGCACUACUCAUUUUUAUUUCUAAAUGUUUUUUUCGUCAUAUUUCUAACUACAAGUUUCAGAGAUGAUAUCAUAAUUAAUUAAUUAAUGUCAUAACGUUUUGACUUAGACUUGCUGAAUAUUAAUGGUUUUAUUAAUAACAAAACGAGUAGCUGACUAAACCAUGGUUGAUAAAAAUUAUUCAAAAAUUUUUUUGUUUAUUUUAUUUAUAAGAGGUUGAUUUAAUAAUUUUUAGUACUUCCUCAAUCCCUUAUAAAUAUUAGUGAUUUAAUAUUUUUCUAUCGUGAUUAAAGAAGUGCUUAAUUUUUCUAUGGAGUCAUAAAAUAUUUAUUAAUUUGAUUAAAUUACUAUUUAUUUCACAUUAUUAAUAGUUAAUGUAUUUAAUAUAUAUUACGUGUGUUCCAUACUACUUGUCACAUUUAAAAUUUCACGUACUUUUAAGAAAAUAAUUAAAUUUGUCUAAAUUAAAAUAAAUUAUUGAGUAAAUCGACUAUAUUAUAUACCUUUAAUUCAAUGCUCCUAUAUCUAAACAUCAAAGAAUUAUUGGUCAUAUACAAGCGUAAACAUGGAAAAAAAAAUUUAUUACUCUUUGAAACUAUAAAUGUGAUAAGUACUCUCUCUGUCCUAAAAUAUAAAUCAUUUAAAAUUUUUGCACAGCAAUUAAGAAAUCAAUUAAUUCUCCUAGAUUAAAAUAAACCCAAGGGUAAUUUGACCAAAUUAUCUUUUAUUUCAAAACCAGUAGUUACUUGUGAAAGUAUUUAUUGUAUCUAAUAUAAACAAGGGUAAUAUUAAAAAAAUAUCAGUUAUUACUCCUUAAAAUACUCAAAAUGAUUUAUAUAACGACUUAUAUUUUGAACCAGAAGAAGUAUUUCAGAAUAAAUUAUUUUUUAAAUGUGACGAGUGUUAUGGAAUUGAUAUAGUAUAAUGGAAAGAUCGAAAAAAUUUCAUUAAUUAUUUAAAAAGAUUUAUAUUAAUGACACAGAAUUUUGACAUGCAUGCAUUCCUGCUUACACUAUUAAUUUCUUAGUCAUAAAUGCUAUAUAUAUUGUUUAACAAUAAGUCAUUAAAGACUACUUGAGGUCAACGUAACCAUAGUUGCACAUUAAUUGAGUUUGUUGCAAGAUUUGAAUGAAAGAAUUUGUGGCAUUAUUUUUUUUUAAAAAAAUAUAUCUUUUUAUCACAUUUUUAUACAUAUAGAAAGAAUCAGUACUGAAGAAUUAAACAAUUAAAAAACUUUAUAUAUAUUUGGAUAAUGUCACAUUAUCAAAGAAAAUUAUCACCAUUUCUUUAGAGCGUUAGAAUUGGCAAUAAAUAUCAAUUAAAGGUGCAAGUCCGGCAUGGAUUAUGGUUUGUUUUGGCAAAAUUAUUUAUUUUUUAGCUGUCUUAAAAAUGUCAUGUUGUAUAUGCAUUUAUCAUUAGGUUAUACCUUAGUGUGCUAAAAUUGUCAGUUAUUUUAUUAGUGUUUCACUAAAUAUUACAAGGAAUAAUAUUGAAUAGUCAGUUCAUUCAAAUUCUAAACACUAAUAUAAAUAUAUGUCAUUGAUCACUAUAAAAUAUAGAUAUAGUGUUUUAAUCUAGUUAGCUUUGUUCGGCAAUAAUGUUUAUUAUGUUGACAUAGUCAACUUAUUAUUUGGUAUUCGGCGGCGUAAUAUUUAUACUGGUAUUUAGAAUUUGAAGAAAUGGAUUAUAAAACAUUACUCCAUUCAACAUUAGAUGAAAUGUUGAUAAAACAACUAUAUAAAUAACUAAUUUUGUCAAGAUAACUCUAGUCAAAGUACCAAAUGCUACCCAAAAAUUACGUAUUAUGCUUCUAGCUAGAUCGGUCAAAUGUCACUAAGAGUUACUGCACUACAAAAAAAACGUUAUUUUGCGACCGAUAAAUCGGUCACAAAAUGGCACAUAUCGGUCGCUAAUUUCACUUAGCGACCGACAGAUAUCGGUCACAAACUACCUGGUUGCAAAAGUUUUUUGCGACUGACGAAGUCAUCGGUCGCAAAUGAGCGACCGAUAUAAUCGGUCUCAAAUUUGAAUAAUCGGUCGCAAUUUUUGGUCGUGGUUGAUUUGGAAACUCUGUCGUAAAUUUGGUCGCAGAAAAAUCUGUCGCAAUUUUUAAAAUAGGUCGCAAAUCGGUCGCAAAAAAUAAAUUUAAAAUUUUAUUUUUUGGUAUCAAAUAGGUCGUAAAUCGGUCGCAAAAGUGAAAAAAAAAAUUAAAUAUUAUUAUAAAACCAUAAUUUUUCCGCACCUGUGAAAAUUGACAUAUAUACAUAUAUAUCACACACGCAAUUCAAGAACAAUAUAAAAAUGUAAUUUUUAUUGUACUGAACAAAAUAUCAAAAUACAAAUGAAAAACUAAAAAGGACUAAAAUCAAAUCUACGUUGCUGCUCAUCUGCAGGAUUCGAUGUCAGAUCUCCCGAUGUCGGAUCGCCGGGAGGAGUACCUGCUGGAUGUGAUGUAGCACCAGGAGGGGUGACCAAGGUAUCGUCUGCAGCAUCGGGAUCAGGAGCCGGUAGUGGCUGCUGCUGAGACGUCGAAACAUUUCGGUCUGCAGCAGGCGCAAGAUCAGAGGAAGAAGUACUAUCACCGGGCUCACCGGACAGCCGCAUCACAUGCGCUCUAAGCUCUGCAAUCUGUCUCUGCUGAUCAAUUCUAGGACAAGUUCAAUGCAAGAGAACACAAGUUCAAUUCUAGGACAAAGCACUUUGCUGGGCAGCAAACUCUUUUGAUUGACUGACUGCAUUUGGCCAUAGUUUGCUUCUUGAUACAUCCUCCCUGAUUUCUCCUCCACUAAACCUCUCUCGUAUUAUCCAGAAUGAUUACCUUGGUGUCUUUAUUGUUAAAAAAAAAAAAAAAAGAAUCAAAUUUUCAAAUGAAUGCCACGUUAAGAAGAUAGUUAAUUCAGACAAAACUAAAUAGUUGAUAACUCAAUAUUCAUUGUCGGAUUCAAGGUAUAUAGUAACCAAAAAACUUCAGGCCAGCUGUAAGAAACUCAAACAACUACUUACGUAUCUCCUUAAAACUUGGAAAUGUAGGAUAAAGCUACUUAACAGAAUAAGGAAUUAAAGAACAGGAAGGAAAAGUGAGAUGUAGAGCACAAUUUUGUCCCAUCUAUAUAAAUGAGUUUAUAAGAGAGGAACUUAAUACAAGGAAUCCAUACAGAUGUGCAUUUUGUGGGGUACUAAAGUACUACAGAUGCAUGAAUCUGCCUUCAACGUUAAUUUCGGAAUUAGGGUUUGAUUUUCUUUGAGGGAAGCACGUAAAAUAUCUUUGAUUUUAGGUGUUUUUGUGAAUUAAGGGGCCACUUUGAAUCUGUAGUGUUAAGAGACAAAGAAAUGUGUAGAAACAACAUGUCCAUCGAUUGAAUGUGCUAUCCAAAAUUGUUAAUGGACAUUCAAUUUUAUGUCUGUUGGUGAAACGAUGUUGUCUUUGAAGAUAACUUCAUCUACCUACAGGUUUUGUUCCGCGUGGAAAGAAAACAGGAUGGUAAAGUGUUGUUUUCUGAAAAUGUGUGAUGUUUGGGAUUAAGACGGUUUUGGAUAAUUUGAAUGAGUGUAGGUGGGAACAAAACAUAGCUAUGCAAAUUAAAUACGUAAUGACAUCUAUGGGAAAUAUCAUGAAGUGGGUUACAAUAAGAACAAAUAGGAAAGGCUGUGUUCUAAUAUACACUAUUUUAUUCAUAAAAAAGACAGGUGUAAUUAGGACGUGUAAUACCCACAUUUAUAAUUUUAUGGCCUUUUCCUUUCUCUUAUUUAUCCGAUGUGUAUAUAGCAGGAGUUGAAUUGUUAGCUCCAAUAACACUUUAUUAUGGAGUUAGCCUUUAUAUAGUAAAAUCAUGAUUCCAUACAGGAUGAUUAUAUGAAAUCACAAACCAAUUAUAGAAUACAAUUGUUUGAAAUCCAUUUUUUGAAACUCAAAAGAAGUAACUGCAAUAGAGAGAAAAAAAUUACAAAAUCUAUAGGACCCAUGUACAAUCUGUUUGUCUAUUAUUAGUCUGAAAUUUUAUCGUAUAAGUUUUCUUUUGUCACGAGUCUAUUACUAUUUUCUAAAAAUAUAACCGACAGGAAAACCGUUUCUUUGCCUGUCCAAGGUUUCUUUUAUCUCCAUGAUAUAUAUAUAUAUAUAUAUAUANNNNNNNNNNNNNNNNNNNNNNNNNNNNNNNNNNNNNNNNNNNNNNNNNNNNNNNNNNNNNNNNNNNNNNNNNNNNNNNNNNNNNNNNNNNNNNNNNNNNNNNNNNNNNNNNNNNNNNNNNNNNNNNNNNNNNNNNNNNNNNNNNNNNNNNNNNNNNNNNNNNNNNNNNNNNNNNNNNNNNNNNNNNNNNNNNNNNNNNNNNNNNNNNNNNNNNNNNNNNNNNNNNNNNNNNNNNNNNNNNNNNNNNNNNNNNNNNNNNNNNNNNNNNNNNNNNNNNNNNNNNNNNNNNNNNNNNNNNNNNNNNNNNNNNNNNNNNNNNNNNNNNNNNNNNNNNNNNNNNNNNNNNNNNNNNNNNNNNNNNNNNNNNNNNNNNNNNNNNNNNNNNNNNNNNNNNNNNNNNNNNNNNNNNAUAUAUAUAUAUAUAUAUAUAUAUAUAUAUAUUAUAGAAGCAGCCCCUGGAAUCUACAGGGCUAAGUGUUGCACCAUAAUAGUGGUAUCCAAAAACUCGUAGGAAUCACCUCUAAAAUUUGUAUGUAAUGUAUUUUUUUUAUCAGCAAAUAUAAAUUAAUUAUUAUUAGAAAAUAGCUGAAGCAAAUAGGAAAAACUCCCAUAAUCCAGGAUUCUACUCCCAAGCCAGCAAGCUUUCUCCAAUACACCUUUAAAACCUAGACCUGAAAAAGAGGAGAAAAGCCUAUUGCAUAUAUAAAAAUAAAACCGCAACCUGAAAAUAACUAAAAAGAGGCAGAGAUAGAGAAUUAAAAUUAAUUCGGCUUCUUUUCAUGAGUGAGGAAAAGAAGCAACAAGGGAAAAUAAAACUCUUUCAAUCAAUUAUCUCAAGAGCUAGUAAAUGAGAUUAAAGCCAAGCUAAAAAAGGAUUCACCUGAUCAACUACUUUCUUUGCUAAGGUAUCGGCAAAUAAGUUUUUAGAUCUGUUUGCAUGGAUGCAAAACACAUAUGAUAAAGAAGACACGAUGGAAUCCAGCUUAUUGAAAUUUAUCCACUAUGGCAAGGUCUUGAAAGUUUAUUUGUGGCCCAUAAAACAACAUUUUUUGAAUCUGAUUUAAUAAUUAAAGAGAUAGAGUUGUAUUAAGAAGAGACAUAAAUCUCCAAUGCUUGUAUAAGUGCAAGCAUUUCAGCUUGAUUUGAAUCCAUGACACCAGUACUUUUGUAGAAAAUGCAAAGAACAAUGCCGUUUGAAUCCCUUCAGACGCCUCCGAUACUCACUAGACCUAAUUUUCCUUUCAACGAACCAUCUACGUUGAAUUUUUAUGUAAUGUAUGAUUUAGACUGGCGGUGGACUAAUAUCUAGACUAUGGAAUCUAGCCCAACAUUAAUAACAUCUCUUACAGGGAUUUAAGUGGAAAAAAGAAACUUGAUGUACAGAUUGAGAUUGUUAUUGUUUAAGUAGUAGAUUUUUGGGCAAAAGAUUAAGGUUUAUCAUGUUACCUUAUUGGACAUAUAUUUCUAAUUUUACAUAUACCAGUUUUUGACAACUUGCAUUUGCACGUCAAUACUCAUUAUAGUUACUCGUUUUUUGUUUAAAUAUAAUUCGUUGAUUUUUUUGUGAUAUAAUAAAAAUGAUAAUAAGUUAUUGAGAAAAAAGAUAAAUAUAAAAAUGAUUUUUUUAGUGUGAAGAUUAUGAAUGUAAACAAAAUGAAUGAGUGUUAUAAAAAAAAGUAAUGAAACAGUAAAUAUUUAUAUUCUCAUAGUGAGAGAUAAUAAAUAUUUCAUAAUAAAAAUUAUUGGAUAUCAACUCACAAUCUCUUAAAGAGAUACUAUGAAAUUUUUUCAAAUAAAAUAUUUCAAACUAUAUCAAAUUGGUUAGAAGAGAAAUUUCAAUAAUACUUAAUUCUUAUGAUGAUGAUGAUGAAAGAAAAUGGUGCGUGCAUGGCCACAUGGUUAAUAGCUUCAGUAGUUGUGGUCGAGGAUAUUGCUCAAAAAAAAAAAAAAAAAAAAGUUGGAAAAAAAAAAAAAAUCAAAUGAAAGAGAGCUAGAUGCUUCCAUUCAACCCAUCAUUCUUUCAAUAAGUAGCCCCAUCUUCAUAUGAUCAUCACUUUCAUAUGUUGUGGUUUUCAAAAGGUCAAGACAGAAAUGAGUGCCACUUUCUCUUUUGCUUGGUUCAAAACUUCAACAAAGAACGUGCAAUGGCGAUUUAUGACAUAUCAAUAGCUAGCCAAAAGAAUAUAUACGAUCGAAGAUUUUAUUCGUACGUUGCACACUUGUUAAUUUCUAUCUAGCCUUUCAAAUAAUAAUUUCAGCUAAGGGCAGAAGUACUACUUUGAAUUUCUUAAAGUGGUAGGCCAUGUUAAUUUCUCAAGUUAUACAAUGAAGAAUUGUCCUUUAAAAUCUUAUCUUUAUUUUAGUAACAUAGCCAUGUGAAUGAUUGGGACAUGUGUCCUUAACCCUUUCCCAUUAUUUCAAGUCUUUCCAUCUCAUAAUGUUUGAAAGAGUUCUUGUUCUAUAUGUAUAUAUAAUGUAAACACCUAACUCAAGAAUAUAGCAAUUCAUUGCCAUAAUGCUAUAAAUAUUAUAAAAAGACAAUUUAUAUCUUGCCAUCAAAUGUUUUCCAAAGUUUUUUUUCUUCUUACGUUAAUUUGGCUUACUAGGAUUUUGAACCUGCAACUUUACUAUUCUAAGUAAACUCAUUGAUGGAUAUUUGUUUGCUUCGAGUGAAAUUAUAUACCCCAUUAUUUUGUCUAAAAUCCCCAUGUACAUAUUAAUUUGAUGGACAAGGGGCUUCAAAUACUAAAUGAUUAAAAAGAAAAAAGUCUAAUAUACCCGUUGAUGCUAUUUCUUUUACCUCCAGAUCUCUUUAUUAGAGGAACGCAACUUUCUUGACAGAGCUCUUGAGGAGUUGCAUAAGAAAGAGUAAAAAAUUGUAACUGUACAAUGUAAAUUGGUGGUUGCUUGGCUAACCUUAACAAACUAUUAGCAGAUGCCUGAUAUUUACUAGCAUGAUAUGGAUUCAGGUUGACAUAUUGGCAAACAAGUAACAACAGGUUUCUCUACUGGUGAAGCUUGGUCGCCUUGAAGAGGGUUCUGAAUUAUACAGGGUGUUACUAGCCAUGAAUCCUGACACUUUCACAGGUAAUUUUGUAAUCUUUCUCAAUGUGGAAAGUAAAUACCUUACAUGAAAAUUCAGGGUUAAUAGACUGCAGAAAUAGACAUUUUCUGGAUGAUAAUGUCUUCUUCAAUUAGAAAACAAUGCAACAUUAACUCUAGCGGAGAUUUCUGUAAGGAUAGGAAUCAUAAUUAGUCUUUCGGUAAUAAACUUGAUUAUCAUUUUGAAAACCAGUAAUUGUUUUUGAUAGCCUCUAACAUAUUAAAGAGAAAGAAUCAAUUGUGUUUAGAGUUCCAUUGCUUCGAGAGCCCCUUUCUUUUGAAAAAUAAUAUUGUUUAUAUAAGGUUCUUUCUGAAAUCCCAAAUCAGUAUUUAUUUGGGAAAAGAUAUAUAUUCCUAUUUAGAACUCUAUGCUAAAUAUCACUAUUAAUCCCUACAAUUGUUGGAGACUUGCAUGGAAAUUACUAGUAAAUCUCUAGUAAAUAUUUCUAUUCUAUCUGUUUACAAAUCUUUAUCCUCUAAUUUUGAAGAAUAUUGCCAAGGCUACUCGACUUGCACGUCUUUGGAUUAUAAGAUCUUGUACAUUUUGUAAUUACUGGUUAUAAGAACGGUGGAAAAGUGAACAGUAUCAGACGACAGUCAAAGAUGAAUGUAGACCCAUCGACAGGGAUAAUCAAUUCAAUCCUGGAAGAGGCAUCGACUAUUUUGAAGAGCUCAACUGAUAAGAAGAAGCUUCAAAAAAUAGUUAAUGCAAUCAACUAUUAAUUACUUAUGAAUAUUCAUAUCAAACGCCUAUAGUUAUAACUUGGUUAUUAAGUAAUCUACGGGUUGUGGCUUAAUUGGCAACGAUGGCUGGACAUGUGGAAAGAGCUUUCGAGUUUAAUUCCUACUAAACACAUUUGCAGGGAGAAGCGAAGAGCCUUAACUGUGACUAAGCUUCGAGGCGGAUUAAUCUGUCCUUAAUAAUAGAGUCCGGAUACCGAUAGUUUAUACAAUGUAGUUAUUAAGUAUAAAUUAGCAAUUAACUACCUAAAUCAGGUGAAUUAAACACAUACUUAAUUGUUAAAUGGAUUCAAGAUCAAAAUCAGGCCUUCCAAGAUGCAUUUAUUUAUUUCAAUAAAAUAUAGCCUGAUUUAAAAUGGAGAUGAAAAAGUCAUUAUUCAUAUGAAUUGAAAACUUAUAAUUUUUCAUAAAUUCAAAUAUUAAUCUUAAAUACAUUUAUAAAUAACGAAAUAACAUAUAAUCAUAUUGUGUUAAAUCGGAUGGAGCACUCAAAAAUACCCUAUAUAUCCAUUACUAUUCCUAGAUGAAAGAUGACUUGAUCUCCUUUCUCUAAAUCAUGUCCAACCGAUGAGGUCAUAAAAGUAAUUGAUAGAUUGAGAUCCUUAAAUUUAAGAUUCCUCGUACCCUAAAGCCAACCUUUCUAUUGCACAUUUGCACUCAAUUAUUUAUUUAUCCUAAAUAUAUUAUUCAAUUGAAAUCAAUUUUAAGGGAAAAAAAAAGCUUUAGAUGAUAGUAAUUGAAAUCAAGUAAAUAUUCGACAUUAAUCCAAAAACUAAAACCAAUGAGUUAGGUUAGGUAAUGUCACAGUCCCGUAUCACGCACCAAAAACCGGACCGUGUGGCGCUUGUUUGGCACACCCUCAAACAAAUCAGCCGAGGAUAUCAAUUAGUUAUCCUUAAAGGGACUCCAUUCUGGGGAGCAGCAAGUCCAACCCCAGGAGCCAUUCUCAUGGCCUUAAUCAUAUCAUCAAUUAUCUUAUGUAUCCUUUCUCAUCCGAUUUUAUCGGAUGUCCCCAAAUAAGGGAAUUUAUAGUUUCUUGAUUUUAUAUAAAAAAUAAAAUGAAAUAAAUUAAAAAAUUAAGAAUAAUCUAUCUUAUCAAAAAAUUUAAUGUAAUAAUGGUUAUUUUCUUAAUUGAGAGGCUUAAACUGUAUCAAAGUGUAGUUUUAAUUCUAGAUUAAUAGAUAUUAUUCUUUAUGCUUUCUGGUUAAUUUAUAUGGUUGUAGCCUAUUAAUAAUCAAAGGGCUUGAGCCCAUUUUCCUGCCCCAAGAUAUCCCGGUACUCCAUUUGGCCCUAUUUGGUGCUAGCCCAUGUGAAAAAGAAAAGCCAUUUUAUUUAUUCAAACAAGCUAUCUCUUACCAUAUAAUGGGGAAAAAAAAGAUAGAGUAAAUAUAAUUUGAAAAAAAAUUCUUAUUUUUAUUCAUUUAGUCCAUAAUGUGGGUUUUCGCCAAGUAUUUUCUAAAUGUAAAAAUUAUUGUAAUAUCCAUGUAUUUUUUAAAAUACAAUUAGUCAAUCACUGUAUUUUUUACACAAUGCUUUUUGAAGUCGCAAAGUUUCAUUUGGUCAUAUUCGUUAGUCCUUCUAUCCGAUUUUAACCAAUUUGGCCGUUAAGUCAAUGAAAAGACAAAAAUAUUAUUAUCCUUGUCUCGUAUUUUUACCAUUAAACUUCAUCACAACAAUUUUAAUAAAAAAAAUCAGCAAAAUAAUCAAAAUCAAAAUAUAAAUCAACGAAGUAUUCAUAAUCAUAAUAAAAAAUCAAGGAAAAAAAAAUAUGCAAUCAAAGAUUAAAAAAUCAAAAUCAAAAAUAGAAAAUAAAGAUAUGAAAUAAUAACAACAAACUCUAUCCACUUCUUCAAGCGCUCUCUCUUUCUCGUUUGAAUAUUAAGCCUCAUCUCUGCAUCUUUUAGAAAUUCAAACAUGCAUCUAUUAUAAGCCAUACAACAAACAUAGUUCUGCCAUGAAAUAACCUUCAAAGUAGACCGUAAAAGAAAUAGGGGUAUAUACAUAAACAGAAGAAAUAGAGAGAAAUAUAUAAGAACAAAAGUAUAUUACCUCAAAUAGAUCUGGAGAUACGAGGUUGAUGAUGGAAAAAAGCAUAUUAAUUAAUAGUGAGAUUAAUUGGGUAUUUUGAGAUAUUUACAGUGUUAGCCAGUAAAAGAAGAGAAAUGACAGAAAACACAGGGGAUUUUGGGAUUAGUUUUAAAUUUUCUCACUUUUGACCCUUAUUUACAAACGGAAAAAUUGGAGAAAAUUGAAUGUAAGGACUAAAAGUUAUGACAAAUUGAAAAUAUAGGAAUUUCAAAAAGUAUUUUUAAAAAAGGUAAGGACCAACUAAUUAUAUUUUGAUAAAUACAGAGACUUAAUAGUAAUUUUUCCUUUCUAAAUUUUACAUAUGCGAUCAACAACUGGUGACAGCUAAUCAUACAAAAAAUAAAAAAUAAAAAUAAAAUAAAAAAUAGCAUCUCUUUAGAAUGUCCUGCCGUUGUACUGGCAAGGACUUCCAUAAGAUGAUGAUGAUGUACUGAUGCUUACUGUUGGUGAUGGGCCUGAUGGUGACUCACAGAUCGUUCAUGUCUUUAAUUACAUGGAUAGCAUGCAAGUUGAUACAACUUAAAGUUACAAGACGAGUGAUGAGCGUCUGUCUUGCAAGUAGGCCAUGCCUGAAUUGCGUUGCAGCAAGAGAAAAAUAAAAGGGUCCGAAGAAAGCUUUCUUAAAUCUUCUUGUUUUUUGGCAAAUGGAAAUGGCAGGCAAAAUCAUGUGAAUCCCUCGUGAAUUAUUUCCCUAAGGACCCCAUGUUGCACUUGUUGCAAUAAAGCUUUUUGCCUAUAUAUAUGCCUUCACCAAAGAUAAACAGCCAGCCAGGUUUUCCUCUACUUCUUGAUCUUUACUUUCAACUAUCAGAAGAGAAUUCAAUUCAGUCCAACACUUUAUAAAAAGAUUCAAAAUGGGUAUUCGCUUGCCAAGAAUUGUUAAUACGAAGCAAAUUCCAAGACGGGUUCUUUUGUCACAGGAAAGUGGAGAUGUCCCUAAAGGCUAUUUUGCUGUUUAUGUUGGAGAAAAUCACAAGAGAUAUGCAGUUCCAAUAUCAUACUUAAAAUAUCCUUCAUUUCAAAAAUUGCUAAGUCAAGCAGAGGAAGAGUUUGGGUUUCAUCAUCCUAUGGGUGGCCUCACGAUUCCAUGUAGUGAAGAAGUAUUCAAUCAUCUCAUUUUCAGCUUGUAAAACUUUAACGAUACAGUUAUUAGGAGUAUGUUAACUGUUUAACAAACUAAUACAUGUACCAAUUUUGGAUUAACAAAAGGAAAAUAUACAUAAAUUUGUUUAUUGCAUUCUUUUUAUUUGUAUCUGGAAAUUCUACUUUUUUUCCUGGUGCCCAUAAAAUGAAUUAAUUUGCAUUCCUCCAUCACUGCAAUCCUAGCUUUAUAAAAGUCUG
rnacentral:lncRNA from 1 species